CACCCUCCUCGACGCCAACUCCAAGGCAAGGCAAGGCAGGCGCAGAGAAGGAGAAGAGAACCCUGCACCUUUCCACCUUCCCUCCCCCCCUCCCCUCCGUCUCCCCCACGCGACCGCACGAGGUGCAGGACGGGAUCCGUCCGUUGCUUCCCACGGCCGCCUCCGUUCCGUGGACUCCACCGCGCCCGCCGUCCGUCCGUCCGUCCCUGAAAGCAACGCCUGAUCGGAUUCACGAGGGGGUCGACUGCCGCUGCUCCGCGACGGCCACCACCGCCACCUGCCGCAGGUACCACUGCGACUACUUAGCUCCUGCUCCGCUCCCCGCUCCUCUCUUCUUUCCCCUGCCUCUCGGGCUGUUUGUUUGGUGGUCUCCGCCCCGUCCUACACGCCGUGCGUGAGUGCGUGCGAAUGGGGGAGCGGCGGGCUGGGCGAGCCAUGCGUCCGAUUUGAUGCGAUUUGGUUCUGGAGAGCUUGGUCGGGUGCGAGGAGGAAGAAAGCCCCGAUCUUUCGUCCAGGGCCCGAGAGAUUUCCGUUGGGUGGGUGGGUUCUUCUCGGGUUCUGCUCUGAUUUGCUGCCCCUGUCAAUUGUUUUAUUCGAUUCGAGUUGACCCGCCAUCCUCGUUCAAUUUCUGCAUACUACUACUACCACUGCAGUUUUUUCUUGAGAUUUUGGAGAAUUAAAAGGCUUCUCUUUCUCCGUUUCUCAUGCUCCCGCUGCUGCCGUUGCAUGCUCCUAGUAGCAGCAAUUCAGAAACCCUGCGUGCGAUUUCCUGUUUACUGUCUAGAUAGCUGACAUGAGUCUCAGAGAGAUUCAGUUCAGGACACUGAACUUGUUCAUCGGCUGCACUAGCACUAGCAGUUUCCAUCCAAGCCAUGUUUGUCUUCCUACAAUAGAAUAAGUGAAUACCCAUUCAAGCCCAUGUUGCACCAUCUUGGAGAUGCUGUGACUUUUUUGUCUCACCCCAAAUAAAUCCUGCAGAUAUAAUUUACUCUCCUUUCCCUUUCAUGUGAUCCAGGCAAGGGAAUUUUCAAAGGAGAAAUCUGAAGAGCACACAAACUUCGUCUCCUGAGCUGAACUCCUGGUCGACGAAGCAGAAGCCAUGGGGUCAGGGGACUGGUUCAAGACCAUCAUCAGCAAGAAGAAGUCGAAACGGGGCAAGUCAAAGCACGCAAAGGUACCCCCUCCAUGCCUCCACCCACAUCAACAUGCCCCCUUUCUUUUCUUUACCACUCUCCAGAAUCCAAGAAAAAUAUUAUUACCAUCAAUCUUUAAAUUUCCCUUUACCCCAACCUUCCACACCACACCCUGACUCACCCUGGCCCCCUUGCAUGCCUUCGAAGCAACCUGAAUGAAAGAAAAAGAUGCCAUCGGUUUCAUUCCACAUCAUAUUCCAUCAUUAUUCGGCAGCGAGGGCCAGGGCAGACAAACUGCACCGCUUUGUGCUGCUACAACUUGGUGACUUGUCGCUGUGGCAAUCAUAAUGGAGGAAAGUAAGAAAGCCUUGGUUUGUUUUGCCGGUGGCAAUAAUGGGAAAGGUGUCAUCGAUGCUGACUCGUAGCACAGUUUCUCUGUCGAGUUGGGUGCUGCCUUGGAUUUUGGGAUGGGAACCAUGCCUGCUUGCCUGCGUGCCUUGCAGAGUUUUGGUGAGCUACUGCUAUCUGCAUCUGACCUUGCCCACUGGCUUCAGGACGUCUGAAAUCGUCAGCAUAGGUGUUGGAUACUGUGAUACUAGAUGAGUUAUGUCAUCUAUGUUGAUAUUUUGUGUGAUAUGGUUGGGGAAAACUGAAAGCCAUGACCAUUCUUUGCUAUGCAAUUAAUCAACAACAUUUUGGGUCAGAUUAAGUUUCUGAAUUUUCAGAAACUUGUGUUCCUUAGAAAAGAAGUACCCCGCGAGUUACGGUGUGGAUGUACAAAUGUCACUUUUGGACGUUGUUCAUUGGACUGGUCUGUGAGAGUAACUUGACUGCUGAAAUGGGUCCAGAGAAAAAAGACUUUUGACUGUUGAAUUGGUCCUUCGUAGCUUCUUUUUUUCUGCCACGUCGAUUUUGAUAUGCCGAUUGGCCUAACAUCCCUUGACUCAUUCCUUGUGAUACAAAAUAGGUGGUCUAAAUUAGAAUGAACUCUGGUACAAAUUGGCUGUUCUAGUAAACGCUACUGACUACAUUCCAUUCUGGUCAACAUUUACAAUGAAACUUUUGUUGCUAUUGUAUUUGUCAUACCAGCUACAGUCGUGUUAUUGGUUUUCACCUGGACAUCUGAACAUCCUCGAUGAAUUAAGCCAUAAACAUUUACAAAAGAUUAAAUUGUGCAUUCAUCCUGACAUGCUUCCUUUUACAUAGAAGGUUGCUGCGCAACGCAAUGGAGCCAACCUGCCGCAGCAAAAGCCCAGCAACGCUCCUUCUUCCAGCAGCGACCCUGAAGACAACGCAGCACUGGAAGACUGGGCAGCUACCCGGAUUCAGAACGCGUUUCGGCGCCACAAGGUAAUAUCGACAAUCUACAGCAAAAACUUCAUUUCUACUGUUUGAUUGAGCGAAUAGGUAACAUAUUGCAUUUUCCCUACAUAAUCACCACUUAAAUGCAGGCAAGGAGGACGCUCCGUUGCCUGAGGGGAGUUAAAAGACUGCGCAUUGUUGGCCAGAGCAAUCCAGUUACCAAGCAGACCAGUGCCACACUGAGCUACAUACAGUCUUGGAACAAGUUACAGGCUGAGCUAAGAAACCGGCGUGCUUUCAUGGUCACCGAAGGGCGCAACAGGAAGAAGAAGCAAGAGAACCAAGUCAAACUUGAUGCAAAGCUCCAAAAUUUGCAGGUAAUUCUCUUUCUUGCGCCAACUCUGUUUCUUCAUCAGAAAGUUGCCCAUUGGUUGAACUUUACUAGAGACAAGAGUAUGAGUUCCUUGACAUUUUAUCUUGCUCAUCGGCAUGUUUUUAUCAGGUUGCGUGGAAUGGAGGCUCGAAUACCAUGGAUGAAAUAGUUGCCAGGAUACAUCUAAGGGAAGAAGCAGCAGUAAAGCGUGAGCGAGCCAUGGCAUAUGCGUUUAACCAUCAGGUUCAUACUGGCUACUAAUACUCACAUCACAAUUCAUUAUAUUGCAACAAUUCAUGCCUAAAGUUUAUAUUCGAAACUCAUGAUUAACUGCUCCACAGAGCACUGUAACAUUUAUGUAUCUCAAUGAUUAUAAACCAUAUGCCUCGCCCUUUUGCAGUGGAGGGCAAAGUCUGCCACAAGCCAAGGAAACUUCAACUAUGGGGUCGGGAACGGUGGCUGGGGCUGGAGCUGGAUGGACCGCUGGAUCGCUGCACGACCAUGGGAGCCCCGAUCUAUGGUCACCCCUGAAAACCCGAAGAAGGGACAAUCAAAGAAAGACAACACCAGCACAAACCAGUCAGCUCUGAAGCUGCAAGGUGCAAUCAGUCUAAGCAACAACACCAGUGACCGGAAAGUUCCCAAGAAGAAGUCAUCUCCCUCUCCUGAUAAGAAGAAACCGGUAGCGAAAACGGAGCAGAAACCAGUAGCGAAAACAGAGCAGAAACCAAAGGCGGCAGGCCCUCCCAAGGCGAAGUCGAAGGACAUGAAGAGGAACCAAGAGAAGCAGCAACAACCCGCGGUUCCUGCGAUCACUGCUUGAAACCCGCGGCGAAAAGGUUACCGGAGACGUUGUAUGAUACAUCCUGUGAAGUUUCUCUUUUCUUUUACACUCUUAUGUGGUUUGUCUCUUACAUUGCUGUUUUAUCGGAACAAGAAGUGACCAAUGUAGAAUGUGUUUGGUUUGCGCGAUUGCACACAUACCUAAUGAGAGUGGUUUUUGGUUAGGACUAGGAUCUCUACUGUGCGCAUUGUAUGCGGGUGUGUAAUAUGAUGCCAUCUCUGUCUGCUGGGCUGAAAUGGUUCUGUUGGAACAAAAGUUCAAGUUCCAUCUCUGUUCAUGACAAAAUUUUAACUUCUUGGUUGUAAGUGUGUAACAUAUUGUUGUAGGUGAUCGACCAUAUAUCAGACAAAGGACUGAAGGUGCCGGGGACAUGAUUUUUCUGAUAAACCUUUGCUAAGCAACACAAGUCUUCAAAUUCAAACUGCAUCUACUUCCACAUUCUCAUAUAAUCUGACUAAACCAGCUUGUGUAUACCUAGAGCAUUUGGAAUUUUCUCUUCUUUCCAUGUUUUGCACAGUUUCCAGAGCGCGCCGGUGAGGCACCGACCCCAGGGAAGAACCACCGCCCAGCUUUGUACUUCCCCGGCGAACCACCGACGGGGCGUUGAAACAGCACCUUCUGCUCCUCCAUGGAAUACACGCCCCAAAUGCUGUUGCUGUAGGAAUGCUUGUCGAGCUCGCUCACAAAGUAGAUGCAGUUGGCCCUGCACCCCGGCGUCUCGGAUGCGCGCACCGCCAACGAUGAUUGCUCGCUCACGAACAGCGCCCGGUCAUCGGCGAGCCUCUCCACUUUCACCCACCGUGUCACCUUGACAUCCAGCGUGUACACCUCGAAGCCACCGACGGAUUUGGGGCAUCCGGGUUCUUGUGGUGCGAGCACCAUACCAACGAACAUGACCUCCCCUUCUGACACGAGCAGGUGGUUGUUGGUGUCGCGCAGGUAGGUGUACCCAGGGAUCGAGGAGUACUGCUUGAGAAUGCUCGGCGCACGGAGCCUCUUCAGCCCCCAUGGCAGCGGCCCACGCGAAAACAUGUUUCAGAGCCUAUGCACCCGGGUACUCCUUAUCCAACCACUCAUUCCUGCAUCACCAUUCAUGCAAAUAAUUUUCUUUUUUUUGUUUCUCUUAUAUAGAACAUGUAUUUGUACUUCAACUUUGCAGCACCACAAAGCUUUCUAUGUAGAAUGUGGGAUAAAACUUACAGAUUUUUUGGUCCAACAUAAAUAUACAAAAUGAGAUUUGUUUGAUUAAAAAAAUCUUAUUUUCAUAUUUAUGUCGGACAAAAAAAUCUGAAAGUUUUAUCUCACAUUCUAGUUACAAAGUUAUGUUGUACUGCAAAGUUUGAAAUUCAAGACAUGUUUUAUAUGAGAGGAACAAAAAAGAGAAAAUUACAUGUAAUAAGGUAGUUGUGUAGCACAGAUCUCAAAGUAACAUUGGAGUGCUAGGAUAGUGAGGCCCGGGUGCAUAAGCUCACAAAAUCUGCAUUCCCGGCCCACGCCGGUCGACAAUGUAGGUGAAGCCGUUGUAAUCCAUGGCGUAGAGGGUGCCGCCGGCGUAGUCCGCAAGGCGGAUAGCGUCGCAGCCUCUGAACACUUCGGGCUGGAGGAGCUUCUCCUCGAACCACCGCUCCUCCUCACACCACAGCAGAGAGACACUCCCAAAACACUCGGUAACGAACAACGCGUUGGCGCCAGCAGCGACCCUCAGCUGGGGUUCCACCUCAAACCUUCGCCGGGGGCCAUACAUCUCGAUGCUCUGGAGCGUGCCGGUAACGGGGUUGACGAGGACGACGCGGUUGUCCUCCACGAACGAGAAGUCGCCGUAGGGCAAGGCGCCAGACAACUCUAUAUCGCCCGUCGCGUGGCUGAACGCGGCGGGCAAGCGGGCUGGCAUCACCGGCGCCGGCGACUCCUCUUGGUCGAUCAACAAGGAGAAGAUGGCGCCGCGGCGACGCUGCUGGGUCGAGCAGGUACUGCUUGUGGGCCCGAGCAGGACCUUGAGCGCCAACAGGUGCGGGGUGGGCCGCGCGAGCCGCUCGGAGACGGUCGCCGCCCAGGACCUGCAGACGGCGGGUUCGUGCUGUAAAUUGGGUUGGAAGCGUUGAACCCUUUGUCUCCGGCCGCAUGUUUAUAUAUAAUGGCUAUGCCUUGGAGUACAAGAAGAGAUUAAGAAGAUCAAUCUUAGGUGGUUCGGUACAGGAGGUUAACGAGGAGAGGAAAGAAAGGAGAUAGAGAUAGAUUACAAUUUGAAUAAAACUAUCCUAUACAUAUUCUAACACUCCCCCUCAAUCUAAACCUCAUGAACUUCGACCAAGGUUGAGAUUGUACUUGAACUCAUCUAACUUCCUCAUAGUGAGAGGCUUUGUGAAUCCAUCAGCAAGUUGAUCUCCAGUAGGAAUGAACUGAAUUUCGAGGAGCUUUCUAGCUACUCUUUCUCUGACAAAGUGAAAUCAACUUCAGUAUGCUUUGUGCGUGCAUGAAAAAUAGGAUUAACUGACAGAUAGGUUGCACCAAUAUUAUCACACCACAAUCUGGCUGCUUUUGGAGUCUUAAUUCCAAGUUCAUAAAGCAAUGUCUGUAUCCACAUUACUUCAGCUGUGGCAUUUGCCAAAGCUUUGUAUUCAGCCUUAGUACUUGAUCUAGAGACUGUAGUCUGCUUUCUUGCACUCCAUGACACAAGAUUGGAUCCCAGAAAUACAGCAAAUCCACCAGUUGACCUUCUAUCAUCAAUACAUCCUGCCCAGUCUGCAUCAGAGUAGGCAGUAACAAGCAUAGAAGAAGACUUGGUAAUUUGAAGUCCAAGUCCCUCUGAAAACUUAAGGUACCUCAAAAUCCUCUUAACUGCAGUCCAAUGAGUAGUGCUAGGAGCAUGUAAAUACUGACAUACCUUGUUGACAGCAUAAGAAAUGUCAGGGCGUGUAAGUGUCAAAUAUUGCAAUGCACCCACAACACUCCUCUAGUUUGUUGCAUCCUCUGAUCCAAGUGGCUCUCCACUUUCAAUAGAGAGUUUUUCAGAAGUUGAGAUAGGUGUACUCACAGGUUUACAUUUUUCCAAACCUACUCUCCUGAGUAUGUCAGCUGUGUAUUUUCCCUGUGUCAGAAGUAUACCAUCUCUUAUCUGUUUGACCUCAAUACCAAGAAAAUAAUGAAGAUCUCCCAAGUCCUUGAGGGCAAAUUCUAACUUAAGAUCCUUAAGCAAACAAGUGGUGGCACUUGAACUCGAGCUAGCAACAAUAAUAUCAUCAACAUAAACCAGCACAAAAAUAGUCACAUUUCCUUUAUUGUAAAAGAACAAGGAUGUGUCUGCUUUGGAUGGUACAAAUCCAAGUUGUUGUAGUUGCAUGCUCAAUCGUGAAUACCAAGCUCUUGGCGCCUGUUUUAAACCAUAUAGAGCUUUAUCCAACUUACAAACAUAAUGUGGUGUACCUUUAUUUUCAUAACCUGGUGGCUGCCGCAUGAACACCUCCUCCUCAAGAACACCAUGAAGAAACGCGUUCUGAACAUCUAGCUGUCUUAAGCUCCAAACUCUGGAAACAUCAAUGGACAAGACAAGUCGAAUUGUGGCUGAUUUAACAACUGGACUAAAAGUAUCCUCAUAGUCAAUCCCAAACCUUUGCUUAAAACCUUUAGCAACUAAUCUAGCCUUGUACCUGUCUAUGCUUCCAUCUGACUUCCUUUUUAUCUUGUACACCCAUUUACAAUCAAUAACAUUCAUUCCACUUUUUGAUGGUACUAGGUGCCAUGUUUUAUUUUUCAUAAGUGCAUCAUACUCACUAUCCAUGGCCUCUUUCCAAUCUUUGUGAGCAAGGGCAUCAGCAAGAUUAACUGGUUCACCAGUAGUACUGAGAAAAGCACGUUUUUUAUCAUACCUAAUGGUGCCAUCUUUGUAUUCCUUUUCCUUGGUAAUACCCGAUUGUGACCAUGUGUGACGCCGAGGAACAAUUUGUGCAGCAGAAGAGGCGUCCACAAAAGAUCCAGCGUCCUGUACACGUCCAGCAGCCACGGGAUCGCAUGCCGUCUCUUCUGCAGACAGAAUCGGCCUCGGGAUUGAUCCACCAGCAGAAGCGGGCCGCGUGUCGCCUGAGGACUCCACACGGGUGGACGUGCACAUCGGGGCCCAUGGGCUGGACCCAGCCGCGGUCGCCCGGUCGGGCGGCUGGUCGGCCACCCCCGCGGACCGUGGGCUCGUGGCAAGCGGGGAUUCGCCUCCAGCCCCGCAUGCGCUGGUGGGAUCCACGCGGUCACUAUCGGCCACCGGGUCACGCGCCGUCUCCGCAUGCAGGUGGACAGGAUCCUCCUCGGAUCGUGCGCCAAUGAUUGCGCUGGCGCUAGCGCCAGGAUUCGCCUGGGAUCGCGUGCCAGAUCGCCUGCUGCCGCCAGAAUCCUCCUCGUGAUCAGCAACACCUGUAUUGUCUGUUUCUGGACACAUAAAAUCAUGAGCUGCAUUUGUACAUACAUCAUUAGGGCUGCAAUUUUCUGCGGAUUUGUUCACAUGGUUAGCUACAGAUAAUUCACCCCCGUGAUCAGAUAGUGUGUCAAGAUCCGUAAGAAGUGCUAUUUCAGCACGGAGAAGAGCGCCUGCGUUGGGAUGAAUCUUGGCAAACGGAAAGAGAGUUUCAUCAAAAAUUACACCUCGAGAAAUAUAUAUACGUCUGGUGGAAAUUUCUAGGCACUUGUAUCCCUUGUGUAGAUUACUAUAGCCUAGAAAAACACAUUGAGUGGAACGAAAUUCAAGUUUGUGAUGAUUAUACGGACGUAAGUUGGGGUAACAAGCACACCCAAAAGUUUUGAGAGAGUUGUAGUCUGGUUUUUGAUGGUAGAGACGUUCCAAAGGAGUGGAGUUGCCAAUAACUUUACUUGGAAGACAAUUAAUGAGAUAUGUUGCUGUAAUAAAAGCUUCAUCCCAAUAUUUUAGAGGCAUAGACGCAUGAGCAAGUAGAGAGAGUCCAACUUCAACAAUGUGGCGGUGUUUGCGCUCGGCAGAACCGUUCUGUUGAUGAGCAUGAGGACAAGACACACGGUGCUGAAUUCCUAUGCUACGGAAGAAAGAGUUGAGUUUUUCGUACUCCCCUCCCCAGUCACUUUGGACUGUUAGAAUUUUUCUAUUAAAGUGUCUUUCAACCAGUUUCUGAAAUUCUUGAAAGACAGAGAAAACCUCAGAUUUAUAUUUGAGUAAAUAAAUCCAAGUGAACUUGCUAUAAUCAUCAAUAAAACUAACAUAGUAUUUAUUUUUUUCCAAAGAAAUCUCUUGCAUGACCCCAUACAUCACUGAAAAUAAGCUCUAAAGGAGCAUGAUACACACUAUUUAACUUGGGAUAAGGAAGUUGAUGGCUCUUGGCACACUGACAAGCUUCACAAACUGACUCACUAUUUUGACUAUGUGACAAAGAAAGUUUGUCUUUAUUGACUACUUGUUUAACUAUGAUUGGUGAUGGGUGUCCUAAUAUUUGAUGCCACCUUUCCAAGGAGGGUUUAGUGGCAGAAUAAACUUGACGCCGAUUGCGACUGAGUGCUCCGGAUGUAAUGGGGUAGAGCCCUCCAACGCAUCUACCGUGAUGAAGAAGUUCCCUCGUUGCCCGGUCCUUUAUAAAAAAGUAACGAGGGUGAGUUUCAAAGAAGACGUUAUUGUCAGUGGCUAGACGAGACAUGGAUGCAAGAUUUUUAUCAGCUUGUGGGACAUCAAGAACGUCUUUAAGAACUAGAUCAUGUUUAAGGUUGGGGGAAUUAAUGUAAGCUUGUCCAAUGUGACAAAUAUCCAUACCUCCACCACUUGCCGCAGUGUGAAUCUGAUCGCCACCAUGGUAUCUCUCACGAAGUGCAAGUUGCUCUAACUCGCUGGUGACAUGAUCUGUUGCACCCGAGUCCACGUACCAGACGUCGUCUCCUCCUCCUUCUUCACGUAUGGCAGCAACAACAUGACGAGCGUCGGGGACGAAGUCUUCAUCAUACCUGUGCCAACAGUCCAUGACCUCAUGGCCUGACUUUUUGCACAGCUGACAAUGAGGGCGGCGAUUUGAGGAGGAGCGGCGGCUGUUGUUGUUGUUGAAGCCGCCACCUCCGGAGUUGUUGCCACCACCAGAACGAGCACCCUCGCCCUGGUAGUUGCCGCGGCCGCGUCCGCCGCUGUUGGAGCUGCAGUUCUGUCCCUGGUGACCACGCCCACGGUCACGCCCGCGAGCCGCUGAGUUGACGGAGGACUGUCUGAUGUUGGUACUGUGGAGGAGGGCGAGGCGAGCAUCAAAGCUCAAGAGCUGGUUGUACAGCUCCUGAACCGAGACCGGCUCAACCCUAGCAGACAGAGCGGACACGACUGGAUUGUAGUCCAGAUCGAGGCUAGCCAUGAUCUUGGAGACUAUCUCUGGAUCGGAAGAGGAACUCCGGUGUAGCAUGCAACUUCACCUGUAAGGGUUUUAAUUUUGCCAAGAUGUUUUGCCAUGGACAUGUUACCUUUCUUCAAGUUUGUGAGCUCGAUGCAGGUGUUGAUGGCCUGACUCUAGCUCUGGGCGGUGAACAUGGCGUUGAUGGCGCUCCAGACCUCUGCUGGCGUCUGGAGGGUGGCAACUUGAGCGAGAAUCUCACGGGACAAAGACCCCAUCAGAUAUCCCUGGAGUUGCUGCUGCUGCGUGUACCAGAGGGUUCGGGCGAAGUUGAUGAUCUGUUCGUCUUUUCCAUCUUUGGUGAUGGUGAGGGUGGCCGGUGGUUCCUGGCUCGUCCCAUCAAGGUGGCGCUCCAUCUGUGCGUCUCGGAUUUGCAGGAGCAUGACGGCCUUCCAUAAGAGGAAGUUCCCCCUUGUUAGCUUCUCCUGUGGGGGCGGUCCGAGAGGAAUAGAGCUGCUGCUAGAUGAUGAUGCGAAGGUAGAGGCUGUGGAGGAGGAAAGCGCGCUCGUCGUGGAAGAUAGGGCUGCGGAGGAGGACAUGAUCUCGGCCGCAGGAAGGUAGCUAGAUGCGAUCUUCGAUCUAAGAGGAAGAUGCUCUGAUUACCAUGUAAAUUGGGGUGGAAGCGUUGAACCCUUUGUCUCGGGCCGCAUGUUUAUAUAUAAUGGCUAUGCCUUGGAGUAUAAGAAGAGAUCAAGAAGAUCGAUCUCAGGUGGUUCGGUACAGGAGGUUAACAAGGAGAGGAAAGAAAGGAGAUAGACACAGAUUACAAUUUGAAUGAAACUAUCCUAUGUUGGGGAACGUAGUAAUUUCAAAAAAAUUCCUACGCACAUGCAAGAUCAUGAUGAUGCAUAGCAAUGGGAGGGGAGAGUGUGAUCUACGUACCCAUGUAGAUCGACAACGGAAGCGUUUGGUUGAUGUAGUCGUACGUCUCCACGGCCCGACCGAUCAAGCACCGAAACUACGGCACCUCCGAGUUCUAGCACACGUUCAGCUCGAUGACGAUCCCCGGACUCCGAUCCAGCAAAGUGUCGGGGAAGAGUUCCGUCAGCACGACGGCAUGGUGACGAUCUUGAUGUACUACUGUCGCAGGGCUUCGCCUAAGCACCGCUACAACAUUAUCGAGGACUAUGGUGGCAGGGGGCGCCGCACACGGCUAAGAAUAUGAUCACGUGGAUCAACAUGUGUCCCUAUAUAAAGGCUCAAAGGGGGGGUGCGUCCGGCCAGGAGAGGCGCGCCAGGAGGAGUCCUAGUUGGACUCCCCCCCCUUUCCUAGUUGGAAUAGGAUUCGCGGAGGGGGGAGGAAGAGGAAGGGGGGCCGGCCCCCUCUCCUUGUCCUAUUCGGACCAAGGGAGGGGAGGGGCGCGCGGCCCAUCUCUGGCUACCUCUCCUCUCUUCCACUAAGGCCCACUAAGGCCCAUAUAGCUCCAGGGGGGGUUCCGGUAACCUCCUGGUACUCCGGUAAAAUCCCGAUUUCACCCGGAACACUUCCGAUAUCCAAACAUAGGCUUCCAAUAUAUCAAUCUUUAUGUCUCGACCAUUUCGGGACUCCUCAUCAUGCCCGUGAUCACAUCCGGGACUCCGAACAACCUUCGGUACAUCAAAACGUAUAAACUCAUAACAUAACUGUCAUCGAAACCUUAAGCGUGCGGACCCUACGGGUUCGAGAACAAUGUAGACAUGACCGAGACACGUCUCCGGUCAAUAACCAAUAGCGGGACCUGGAUGCCCAUAUUGGCUCCUACAUAUUCUACGAAGAUCUUUAUCGGCAGAACGCAUAACAACAUACGUUGUUCCCUUUGUCAUCGGUAUGUUACUUGCCCGAGAUUCGAUCGUCGGUAUCCAAUACCUAGUUCAAUCUCGUUACCGGCAAGUCUCUUUACUCGUUCUGUAAUACAUCAUCCCGCAACUAACUCAUUAGUUGCAAUGCUUGCAAGGCUUAAGUGAUGUGCAUUACCGAGAGGGCCCAGAGAUACCUCUCCGACAUUCUGAGUGACAAAUCCUAAUCUCGAAAUACGCCAACCCAACAUGUACCUUUAGAGACACCUGUAGAGCUCCUUUAUAAUCACCUAGUUACGUUGUGACGUUUGGUAGCACACAAAGUGUUCCUCCGACAAACGGGAGUUGCAUAAUCUCAUAGUCAUAGGAACAUGUAUAAGUCAUGAAGAAAGCAAUAGCAACAUACUAAACGAUCGGGUGCUAAGCUAAUGGAAUGGGUCAUGUCAAUCAGAUCAUUCAACUAAUGAUGUGAUCCCGUUAAUCAAAUAACAACUCUUUGUCCAUGGUUAGGAAACAUAACCAUCUUUGAUUAACGAGCUAGUCAAGUAGAGGCAUACUAGUGACACUCUGUUUUGUCUAUGUAUUCACACAUGUAUUAUGUUUCCGGUUAAUACAAUUCUAGCAUGAAUAAUAAACUUUUAUCAUGAUAUAAGGAAAUAAAUAAUAACUUUAUUAUUGCCUCUAGGGCAUAUUUCCUUCAGUCUCCCACUUGCACUAGAGUCAAUAAUCUAGAUUACACAGUAAUGAUUCUAACACCCAUGGAGCUUUGGUGCUGAUCAUGUUUUGCUCGUGGAAGAGGCUUAGUCAACGGGUCUGCUACAUUCAGCUCCGUAUGUAUCUUGCAAAUCUCUAUGUCUCCCACCUGGACUAGAUCCCGGAUGGAAUUGAAGCGUCUCUUGAUGUGUUUGGUUCUCUUGUGAAAUCUGGAUUCCUUUGCCAAGGCAAUUGCACCAAUAUUGUCACAAAAAAUUUUCAUUGGACCCGAUGCACUAGGUAUGACACCUAGAUCGGAUAUGAACUCCUUCAUCCAGACUCCUUCGUUUGCUGCUUCUGAAGCAGCUAUGUACUCCGCUUCACAUGUAGAUCCCGCCACGACGCUUUGUUUAGAACUGCACCAACUGACAGCUCCACCGUUUAAUGUAAAUACGUAUUCGGUUUGCGAUUUAGAAUCGUCCGGAUCAGUGUCAAAGCUUGCAUCAACGUAACCGUUUACGAUGAGCUCUUUGUCACCUCCAUAUACGAGAAACAUAUCCUUAGUCCUUUUUAGGUACUUCAGGAUGUUCUUGACCACUGUCCAGUGAUCCACUCCUGAAUUACUUUGGUACCUCCCUGCUAAACUUAUAGCAAGGCACACAUCAGGUCUGGUACACAACAUUGCAUACAUGAUAGAGCCUAUGGCUGAAGCAUAGGGAACAUCUUUCAUUUUCUCUCUAUCUUCUGCAGUGGUCGGGCAUUGAGUCUGACUCAACUUCACACCUUGUAACACAGGCAAGAACCCUUUCUUUGCUUGAUCCAUUUUGAACUUCUUCAAAAUCUUGUCAAGGUAUGUGCUUUGUGAAAGUCCAAUUAAGCGUCUUGAUCUAUCUCUAUAGAUCUUUAUGCCUAAUAUGUAAGCAGCUUCACCGAGGUCUUUCAUUGAAAAACUCUAAUUCAAGUAUCCCUUUAUGCUAUCCAGUAAUUCUAUGUCAUCCACAUAUAAUAUCAGAAAUGCUACAGAGCUCCCACUCACUUUCUUGUAAAUACAGGCUUCUUCGAAAGUCUGUAUAAAACCAAAUGCUUUGAUCACACUAUCAAAGCAUUUAUUCCAACUCCGAGAGGCUUGCACCAGUCCAUAAAUGGAUCGCUGGAGCUUGCACACUUUGUUAGCUCCCUUUGAAUCGACAAAACCUUCCGGUUGCAUCAUAUACAACUCUUCUUCCAGAAAUCCAUUCAGGAAUGCAGUUUUGACAUCCAUCUGCCAAAUUUCAUAAUCAUAAAAUGCGGCAAUUGCUAACAUGAUUCGGACAGACUUAAGCAUCACUACGGGUGAGAAGGUCUCAUCGUAGUCAACCCCUUGAACUUGUCAAAAACCUUUUGCGACAAGUCGAGCUUUGUAGAUAGUAAUAUUACCGUCAGCGUCAGUCUUCUUCUUGAAGAUCCAUUUAUUCUCAAUUGCUUGCCAAUCAUCGGGCAAGUCAACCAAAUUCCAUACUUUGUUCUCAUACAUGGAUCCCAUCUUAGAUUUCAUGGCUUCAAGCCAUUUUGCAGAAUCUGGGCUCACCAUCACUUCUUCAUAGUUCGUAGGUUCAUCAUGAUCUAAUAGCAUGAUUUCCAUAACAGGAUUACCGUACCACUCUGGCGCGGAUCUUACUCUGGUUGAUCUACGAGGUUCAGUAGUAUCUUGUUCUGAAGUUUCAUGAUCAUUAUCAUUAGCUUCCUCACUAAUUGGUGUAGGUGUCGCAGAAACAGGUUUCUGUGAUGUACUACUUUCCAAUAAGGGAGCAGGUACAGUUACCUCGUCAAGUUCUACUUUCCUCCCACUCACUUCUUUCGAGAGAAACUCCUUCUCUAGAAAGGAUCCAUUCUUAGCAACGAAUGUCUUGCCUUCGGAUCUAUGAUAGAAGGUGUACCCAACAGUCUCCUUUGGGUAUCCUUUGAAGACACAUUUCUCCGAUUUGGGUUCGAGCUUAUCAGGUUGAAGCUUUUUCACAUAAGCAUCACAGCCCCAAACUUUAAGAAAUGACAACUUUGGUUUCUUGCCAAACCAUAGUUCAUAAGGCGUCGUCUCAAUGGAUUUUGAUGGUGCCCUAUUUAACGUGAAUGCGGCCGUCUCUAAAGCAUAACCCCAAAACGAUAGCGGUAAAUCAGUAAGAGACAUCAUAGAUCGCACCAUAUCUAGUAAAGUACGAUUACGACGUUCGGACACACCAUUACGCUGUGGUGUUCCGGGUGGUGUGAGUUGCGAAACUAUUCCGCAUUGUUUCAAAUGUACACCAAACUCGUAACUCAAAUAUUUUCCUCCACGAUCAGAUCGUAGAAACUUUAUUUUCUUGUUACGAUGAUUUUCGACUUCACUCUAAAAUUCUUUGAACUUUUCAAAUGUUUCAGACUUAUGUUUCAUUAAGUAGAUAUACCCAUAUCUACUUAAGUCAUCUGUGAAGGUGAGAAAAUAACGAUAUCCGCCACGAGCCUCAAUAUUCAUCGGACCACAUACAUCUGUAUGUAUGAUUUCCAACAAAUCUGUUACUCUCUCCAUAGUACCGGAGAACGGUGUUUUAGUCAUCUUGCCCAUGAGGCACGGUUCGCAAGUACCAAGUGAUUCAUAAUCAAGUGGUUCCAAAAGUCCAUCAGUAUGGAGUUUCUUCAUGCGCUUUAUACCGAUAUGACCUAAACGGCAGUGCCACAAAUAAGUUGCACUAUCAUUAUCAACUCUGCAUCUUUUGGCUUCAACAUUAUGAAUAUGUGUGUUACUACUAUCGGGAUUCAUCAAAAAUAGACCACUCUUCAAAGGUGCAUGACCAUAAAAGAUAUUACUCAUAUAAAUAGAACAACCAUUAUUCUCUGAUUUAAAUGAAUAACCAUCUCGCAUUAAACAAGAUCCAGAUAUAAUGUUCAUGCUCAACGCUGGCACCAAAUAACAAUUAUUUAGGUCUAAUACUAAUCCCGAAGGUAGAUGUAGAGGUAGCGUGCCGACCGCGAUCACAUCGACUUUGGAACCAUUUCCUACGUGCAUCGUCACCUCGUCCUUUGCCAGUGUUCGCUUAAUCCGUAGUCCCAGUUUUGAGUUGCAAAUAUUAGCAACAGAACCAGUAUCAAAUACCCAGGUGCUACUGCGAGCUCUAGUAAGGUACACAUCAAUAACAUGUAUAUCACAUAUACCUUUGUUCACCUUGCCAUCCUUCUUAUCCGCCAAAUACUUGGGGCAGUUCCGCUUCCAGUGACCAGUCUGCUUGCAGUAGAAGCACUCAGUUUUAGGCUUAGGUCCAGACUUGGGUUUCUUCUCUUGAGCAGGAACUUGCUUGCUGUUCUUCUUGAAGUUCCCCUUCUUCUUCCCUUUACCCUUUUUCUUGAAACUAGUGGUCUUGUUGACCAUCAACACUUGAUUCUCCUUUUUGAUUUCUACCUCCGCAGCUUUCAGCAUUGCGAAGAGCUCGGGAAUAGUCUUAUUCAUCCCUUGCAUAUUAUAGUUCAUCACGAAGCUCUUGUAGCUUGGUGGCAGUGAUUGGAGAAUUCUGUCAAUGACACAAUCAUCUGGAAGAUUAACUCCCAUCUGAAUCAAGUGAUUAUUAUACCCAGACAUUUUGAGUAUAUGCUCACUGACAGAACUGUUCUCCUCCAUCUUGCAGCUAUAGAACUUAUUGGAGACUUCAUAUCUCUCAAUCCGGGCAUUUGCUUGAAAUAUUAACUUCAACUCCUGAAACAUCUCAUAUGCUCCAUGACAUUCAAAACGUCGUUGAAGUCCCGAUUCUAAGCCGUAAAGCAUGGCACACUGAACUAUCGAGUAGUCAUCAGCUUUGCUCUGCUAGACGUUCAUAACAUCUGGUGUUGCUCCAGCAGCAGGCCUGGCACCCAGCGGUGCUUCCAGGACGUAAUUCUUCUGUGCAGCAAUGAGGAUAAUUCUCAAGUUACGGACCCAGUCCGUGUAAUUGCUACCAUCAUCUUUCAACUUUGCUUUCUCAAGGAACGCGUUAAAAUUCAACGGAACAACAGCACGGGCCAUCUAUCUACAAUCAAACAUACAUAAGCAAGAUACUAUUAGGUACUAAGUUCAUGAUAAAUUUAAGUUCAAUUAAUCAUAUUACUUAAGAACUCCCACUUAGAUAGACAUCCCUCUAAUCUUCUAAGUGAUCACGUGAUCCAAAUCAACUAAACCAUAACCAAUCAUCACGUGAAAUGGAGUAGCUUUCAAUGGUGAACAUCACUAUGUUGAUCAUAUCUACUAUAUGAUUCACGCUCGAUCUUUCGAUCUCAGUGUUCUGAGGCCAUAUCUGCAUAUGCUAGGCUCGUCAAGUUUAACCUGAGUAUUCUGCGUGUGCAAAACUGGCUUAUACCCGUUGUAGAUGGACGUAGAGCUUAUCACACCCGAUCAUCACGUGGUGUCUGGGCACGACGAACUUUGGCAACGGUGCAUACUCAGGGAGAACAUUUUUAUCUUGAUAAUUUAGUGAGAGAUCAUCUUAUAAUGCUACCGUCAAUCAAAGCAAGAUAAGAUGCAUAAAAGAUAAACAUCACAUGCAAUCAAUAUAAGUGAUAUGAUAUGGCCAUCAUCAUCUUGUGCCUGUGAUCUCCAUCUCCGAAGCACCGUCAUGAUCACCAUCGUCACCGGUGCGACACCUUGAUCUCCAUCGUAGCAUCGUUGUCGUCUCGCCAAUCUUAUGCUUCCACGACUAUCGCUACCGCUUAGUGAUAAAGUAAAGCAUUACAGCGCGAUUGCAUUGCAUACAAUAAAGUGAAAACCAUAUGGCUCCUGCCAGUUGCCGAUAACUCGGUUAAAAAACAUGAUCAUCUCAUACAAUAAAAUUUAGCAUCAUGUCUUGACCAUAUCACAUCACAACAUGCCCUACAAAAACAAGUUAGACGUCCUCUACUUUGUUGUUGCAAGUUUUACGUGGCUGCUACGGGCUUAAGCAAGAACCAAUCUUACCUACGCAUCAAAACCACAACGAUAGUUUGUCAAGUUGGUGCUGUUUUAACCUUCGCAAGGACCGGGUGUAGCCACACUCGGUUCAACUAAAGUUGGAGAAACUGUCACCCGCAAGCCACCUAUGUGCAAAGCACGUCGGGAGAACCGGUCUCGCGUAAGCGUACGCGUAAUGUCGGUCCGGGCCGCUUCGUCCAACAAUACCGCCGAACCAAAGUAUGACAUGCUGGUAAGCAGUAUGACUUAUAUCGCCCACAACUCACUUGUGUUCUACUCGUGCAUAUAACAUCAACACAUAAAACCUAGGCUCGGAUGCCACUGUUGGGAACGUAGUAAUUUCAAAAAAUUUCCUACGCACACGCAAGAUCAUGGUGAUGCAUAGCAACGAGAGGGGAGAGUGUGAUCUACGUACCCUUGUAGAUCGACAACGGAAGCGUUUGGUUGAUGUAGUCGUACGUCUCCACGGCCCGACCGAUCAAGCACCGAAACUACGGCACCUCCGAGUUCUAGCACACGUUCAGCUCGAUGACGAUCCCCGGACUCCGAUCCAGCAAAGUGUCGGGGAAGAGUUCCGUCAGCAUGACGGCGUGGUGACGAUCUUGAUGUACUACUGUCGCAGGGCUUCGCCUAAGCACCGCUACAAUAUUAUCGAGGACUAUGGUGGUAGGGGGCGCCACACACGGCUAAGAAUAUGAUCAUGUGGAUCAACGUGUGUCCCUAGGGGGUGCCUCUGCCUCCGUAUAUAAAGGCUCAAAGGGGGGUGCGGCCAGCCAGGAGAGGCGCGCCAGGAGGAGUCCUACUCCCUCUGGGAGUAGGAUUUCUCCCCCUUUCCUAGUUGGAAUAGGAUUCGCGGAGGGGGGAGAAGAGGAAGGGGGGUCGGCCCCCUCUNNNNNNNNNNNNNNNNNNNNNNNNNNNNNNNNNNNNNNNNNNNNNNNNNNNNNNNNNNNNNNNNNNNNNNNNNNNNNNNNNNNNNNNNNNNNNNNNNNNNNNNNNNNNNNNNNNNNNNNNNNNNNNNNNNNNNNNNNNNNNNNNNNNNNNNNNNNNNNNNNNNNNNNNNNNNNNNNNNNNNNNNNNNNNNNNNNNNNNNNNNNNNNNNNNNNNNNNNNNNNNNNNNNNNNNNNNNNNNNNNNNNNNNNNNNNNNNNNNNNNNNNNNNNNNNNNNNNNNNNNNNNNNNNNNNNUCUCCUUGUCCUAUUCGGACCAAGGGAGGGGAGGGGCGCGCGGCCCAUCUCUGGCUACCUCUCCUCUCUUCCACUAAGGCCCACUAAGGCCCAUAUAGCUCCCGGGGGGGGGGGGUUCCGGUAACCUCCCGGUACUCCGGUAAAAUCCCGAUUUCACCCGGAACACUUCCGAUAUCCAAACAUAGGCUUCCAAUAUAUCAAUCUUUAUGUCUCGACCAUUUCGAGACUCCUCGUCAUGCCCGUGAUCACAUCCGGGACUCCGAACAACCUUCGGUACAUCAAAAUAUAUAAACUCAUAAUAUAACUGUCAUCGAAACCUUAAGCGUGCGGACCCUACGGGUUCGAGAAUAAUGUAGACAUGACCGAGACACGUCUCCGGUUAAUAACCAAUAGCGGGACCUAGAUGCCCAUAUUGGCUCCUACAUAUUCUACGAAGAUCUUUAUCGGUCAGACCGCAUAACAACAUACGUUGUUCCCUUUGUCAUCGGUAUGUUACUUGCCCGAGAUUCGAUCGUCGGUAUCCAAUACCUAGUUCAAUCUCGUUAUCGGCAAGUCUCUUUACUCGUUCCGUACUACAUCAUCCCGCAACUAACUCAUUAGUUGCAAUGCUUGCAAGGCUUAAGUGAUGUGCAUUACCGAGAGGGCCCAAAGAUACCUCUCCGACAUUCGGAGUAACAAAUCCUAAUCUCGAAAUACGCCAACCCAACAUGUACCUUUGGAGACACCUGUAGAGCUUCUUUAUAAUCACCCAGUUACGUUGUGACAUUUGGUAGCACACAAAGUGUUCCUCCGGCAAACGGGAGUUGCAUAAUCUCAUAGUCAUAGGAACAUGUAUAAGUCAUGAAGAAAGCAAUAGCAACAUACUAAACGAUCGGGUGCUACACUAAUGGAAUGGGUCAUGUCAAUUAGAUCAUUUAACUAAUGAUGUGAUCCCGUUAAUCAAAUAACAACUCUUUGUCCAUGGUUAGAAAACAUAACCAUCUUUGAUUAACGAGCUAGUCAAGUAGAGGCAUACUAGUGACACUCUGUUUUGUCCAUGUAUUCACACAUGUAUUAUGUUUCCGGUUAAUACAAUUCUAGCAUGAAUAAUAAACUUUUAUCAUGAUAUAAGGAAAUAAAUAAUAACUUUAUUAUUGCCUCUAAGGCAUAUUUCCUUCAUCCUAUACAUAUUCUAACGCGUGCUGGUCGCCGAUCUUGCUGCUUAGGGUUGCUGCGGGUUUGAUCAGCUCCAUAUGGGGGAGACAGAGAGAAACGUAGGGGCGUCGACGCGGCGAGCGGGUGGAGAAGAGACCGGAGGAGAGAGUACAUCACAUAUAUGUUUUUUUCGUUUUUUCUUCACACUUUUUAUUUGGUUUUUGCAUGGCUUUUUUCCUAUUGUUUAUAUUUUGAAAAAUUGUAAAUAUGUGUACGAAAAAACACUUUACAUUUUUUUGAAAUAUGUUAAUCAUGCAUUUGCAAGUGUUAAACGUGUAUAUAAAAAUGUUAAUCAUGUGUACGAAAAAUGUUUGUGAUUUAACAAGUCUGGCACGUUUAAAAAUGUUUACACAAUGUGAAAAAUGUUUGAGUACUUUUAAAAAUACACCCAUGAGUUUAAAAAAUGUGUUUGUGACAUUUGCAAAAAAAAACAAUGUAAAAGCAAUGUUUUCAUAAUGUGAAAAAAAAUUGUUUCGUGCCAUUAAAAAAUGUACGCAGCAUUUUAGAGCAAAAAUUCAAGCAAUUCAAAAAAACAUGCAUCACAUUUAAAAAAAUGUAUAUACAAUGUAUAUGAAUGUUCCUGUAGGUUUAAAAAAAUGCUUAUUUCCAGUAAAAAAAAUGUUUGUGUAGUUUAUAAAAAUUCUUAUUGACACUAAAACAAUAUACAGUAUGUAUUUGAAAAAUAUUACCGUCUAUCCAAAAAGGUGUUCAAAACAUGUAUUUAAAAAAUGUACAUCAUCUACUUGAAAAUGUUCAAAGUGUAGAAAAACAAAAUGUUUCGCAUGUACGCUAAGAAUGCACAUUGUGUACUCACAAAAGGUAGGCAUGUGCAAAAAAGGAAACCGGUUAAUACCAACGAAGAAACAAACAAGAAAAGCAAAGAAAACCGAGGAUUAUGAAGGAAAUAAAAAAAAACAAAAAGAACCAAAGUAUAAACGUGGAUUGAUUAGGGGUGGUUAAUUAGAGGCGGGCCUCCUAAAAAUUAGAGGGGCGAUGAUUAGUGUUGAUUUGGGUGGGGCCGCCUCCCUCUUGCCUUGCCUAGCCUUUGCAUAUGUGUGCGCUGGAAGUCUCGCCUAGCCUUUGCAUGUGUGUGCGCUGGAAGUCUCACCCGAUGGGUCUUGAUGGAAAGACUUGUCGGCUGAUUAGUUGUGCUGGACUAGAUCGCCCGUUGUAGCGGCCGAUCGCUAGGAAGUCGUUUCGGCAACACUGACAGUACAAUCACGUCACGUCGUCUUAUGUUAUUAUUUUUAGCAUCAAUACAGACACAAGCGCUCAUAUACACGCGCAUACAUUCACUUCUAUGAACGCACACACGCACACCCUACCUCUAUGAGCACCUUCGAGUGACUGAGCCGCCAUAUCAUCUUGAGACUUACGAAGUCACCGUAGACGCCUCGUCGUCAACGGAACGUCUCCUCCCAUUGACAGCGCAUCAUCGGAAAUUCUGAAAUAAAUCCAGAAAUAAUGCGAGCAUCAGGAUUUGAACCUUGAUGGGUUGGGAAUAUCACUGUCCAUCUCACCAACUCAAUCACAGGUAUGUUUUAGUACAAGUACUGUUUUGUGCUUCGGACUCGACUUCAGUGACCGUCGGUAUAUUUAUUUUGGAUUAUUAUUUGAGUCAACUUUUUUUAGAUGAAUUAUUUUUGAGUCAAACUUGGUGGGGAUGCCGUGAUGGCCCGCCAGUCGGCGGCAGCCCACGAGGUGAGACCGGCCUGGCCCGUAAAGUAACACGGGCAACCCAACCCACCACCUACGUCGUCGUCUCCGCCGCCUUGCUCUAUCCAUCCGUCGGCGAUGCAGGCCGCCGUCGCCUUGAGCCAGAGCCAGGCGUCCCUUCUCGUCCGGCGGCUCCCAAGGCCUUACCACUACGCGUACGUAUCCGCCACUCGAUUCCUCUCGCCUCAAUUCCAUGGCUCCAUCUCUGCCUUUUUGACCCCUGCAUCUGCAUGUGGUUGGUGGAGGAAUUCCGCAGCGGCGGGCCGGACCCGGAUGAUGGCGUGCUGCUGCUAGCACGACGAGGCGUGUCGCUCCCGCUCCCGCGGCUGCGGCUGCGGCGCGCCUGUUGCUCCGCGAGCCUACCCGUCGGUACCGGCGCCGGCGCCGGCAGUGGUAACAACCCCGGCCCCUUGCUCCACCUCAUGUUGGUUUACCAUGUUCGUGUUACUUUACCCGUGGCAAGGUAACAAACCCCCCUGGCCGAUUGCUUUGGAAGCUAGGCUGGAGAGGGUACCUUUGCAGAUUUACCCCCUUCAGGCAAGGGCAAAAUUUUCAGAUCAGAUUAUAAAUUUGUUGGCAGUGCCAAGAUAAGUGGAAUCAGUUACUAGGCCAAGGCUAAAAUUUGAGAUAAUAUUAAGGAGCACCUGUAUAUGCUUCAGUUAUUAACUGAAAACAAAUUCAGUUUUACUGGAAUCCCUCCCCCUCGUAGCCUUCUUCUUUCUCCCACCCGCCCUGCCUAACUGCCUUCUGCCCUCCGACGCCUGCCUAACCGCCUAGCGCAGCCGCCACCCCCCGGCCAUCGCUGUUAAAUAGCAAAUGCGAUAAUAAUAAUAUGGUUUGGUGGUACAAAUGUUUCAGUUCAUUCGCUAAUGCUAGUUAUCGGCUUACCGUGGUUAAAAAGAACAAUUCCGUGUGUUCAUACUUCAUAGUUCACGCGCGAAAGAAAUUUGCAUUUUUUUGAAUGAUGGAAAAUGAUGUGGAAAUCAGAAUCCUGGCCUUCAGGAUAGACGGUAUAUGGGAAUACAGGACUGCGUGCAAGUUUGAAUAAUGGGACCUAAUGGGCGGUCCUUCCCUUACAAAUGGUGUAUGGCUCCCAAAUACGGAGAUUUCAGUACUAAAACAAGUAGUAGAAGCAAUCCGUGCAAGCGGCAGUACCAAGGGUGAUUGAUGCAAUAGGAAGUCACUUCCAUGUUUGCCGUAUUAAUUUACAGUACCGCUGAGUCUCGGCUUGGAAGUUGCCAUGCUGCUCUUAAUUGUUUGCGGUAUCUGUUCUUGACCUGCAUAUCUGGAAUCAAAUGCCAUUAACCAGACGAGUUUUCUUAUUUGUAAGCAAGGUUUGGGAGAAUCAAAUAGUACCUUUUUGCCAUUUUGUUUGUGAGAUAAUUAAAAGUGUCAUAGAAACAAGCAGUCCUGUCCGGUGAAAUUAAUCAACACAUAUUCCCUGUCUGUAUUGGGCAUAAACCAGGCAUAUCUGCUUAAUUCGGUCCUUGCUAUGUAUCCAGAAACUGGUUGUGAAAAGCUAUUGCCUAGCUUCGUUGACCUACCAAGAUAAACAUAGGUCGAUUCUAGGUACGAAAUCCACUUUUCAUAUUGUGAGACAUUGAGAACAGAGCCGUCACUCUGUUGAUAAGCUGUGCAGGUGCAUGUUCGAGUUAUCGAGUAUCGGACUCCACAAGGCGCCCAGGUUGUUUCUUCUAUCAAAAAAAGAUGCCGCCAAUGCCAAGGGCUCCUGGCUGGUCUUGUUUGUUUUUUUUCUAAAUAUUGUGACUUUGAAUAUAAUUUCCUUUAAUUUUUAAUCAUUCUGCGUUUCAAGAACCACAGAUAGUAAAGUGGAUUUGUAAAUUAUUUUUGUCUUCUACUCCCUCCGUCCCAUAAUAUAAGAGCGUUGUGUCAAAAACGCUCUUAUAUUAUGGGACGGAGGGAGUAGAUUUGUUUAUCAUUAAAAGGCUGCGUACUAUAGACCCAAAGUGGCCAGACCCUUCCCCGGACCUUGUUCAAGCGGGAGCUACGUGCACCGGGCUGCCCUAGAUUUGUUUAUCAUUAUGUGUUAUGUAUUGCUGAACCAGUGGUUAAAACAAGAAAUUAAAUGGUCAUUUCAUUUAUUUAGCUGCAGCAGACUCUUGAUGAAUUAUUAUUUGCAAAUUUUGCAAUUGAAGCCUGUCUUUCGCCCAAUUGCUAGUGGUAGAGAUUGAAUUGUCAAAGUAUAGCGUAACUUGUCGUGAAUGAACCUGGAACUCGUGCCUUUUAUCAUUUCCUUGGGUGCUGAAUACUUUUCUUGCUCACUGCUCUUAUGUCACUUCAUGAUUUUUUUUCUUUGUAGAGCAUGUCCCUGUAUUCCCAAGACAAAAAACAUGGGAUCCUUACAAGCUUCUUGGUGUUGACCAUGAUGCAUCUGAAGAAGAGAUCAAUAGUGCAAGAAACUUCCUCCUUCAACAAUACGCUGGGUAUGAAGAAAACGAAGAGGCAAUUGAAGGUGCCUAUGAUAAGAUAAUGAUGAAGAGCUACUCACACCGUAAGAAGUCCAAAAUCAACCUGAAAAGGAAAUUAAUUAAGCAAGUGGAAGAAUCCCCAUCAUGGGUUAAGUCACUGCUUGGACACUUUGAGGUGCCAUCGAUGGAUGUUGUGUCAAAAAGAUUUGCUCUUUUUGGAUUUAUUGCUGGGUGGAGCAUCGCAACUUCUGCUGAGACUGGACCUACCUUCCAGGUAUAUAUAUGCUUUUAAUGAUUCUCACAACUGAUUCAAUAAUCCUUUUUUCCUAAGCAUUGAACCUGUUAGAGAUUACUUACAGCCUAAGACUGUUGUUUAUUUCUCUUGCGGCUGGGGAUUGGAACCAUUAGGCAGAAAAUAUCCUCGGUUUGCUGCGUGGACUGUCUAUGCAUUUCCUACAGAGUGUAAUGGAACCCAGCUCAGCUCCGCCGAGCCAAAAGAAAAGCACAGAACAGCCGGAGGCGAAGAGUAGAGUAUAGCCAAGGGGCUUUCGUCAUCCGUAAAGGACCUAAUGGAAGACCGUGCUCCGAAGUGUGCACUUCGAGUUUUGUUUUAAGAACACUUGACCUACCUAUAAGAUAGAUUAAGCCUCCUAUUAUACCAAUUAUAGGUCUUGCUGGUUCUAACAAUCUUUUUAACAUUGAUGGUUUUCUCUUGCAGCUUGCACUGGCACUCGUGUCAUGCAUAUACUUUCUCAACGACAAGAUGAAAAACCUUGCCAGGGCGUCUGCCACAGGGUUAGUUAGCACCUGCAUAGCAACAUACGAGUACUCCCUUGGUCGUUAUCAGUCGCACACGUAUAGGGCUUUUAAUCCUCCUCCGUACUUGCAGGCUUGGACUCUUUGCGGGUGGCUGGAUAGUAGGUUCGCUGGUAGUCCCAGUGAUCCCGGCAUUUAUUUUCCCGCGUACUUGGUGUCUGGAGCUCCUUACUUCGCUGGUCGCUUAUGUAUUUCUAUUCUUGGGUUGCACUCUCGUCAAGUGAAAUCUGUGACACUUGAAACCGUUGUUGUUUCUGCGAGAUUUUCUGUUGCCGACGUUGCAACUCCCUUUUGACCCGUGGGUAUAGAAGAUGACCUUUUGACAAGCCGAAACUUGGCCCACUAUUGUUCAGAUCCCAUGAGGUGUUGUUGUUAUCUCUAGUCUAAGCGAGCUUAUAUUGGUCAGUAUUGUAUUGUAUUGUAUUGUAUUGUUUUGUAGGCAGUUUCUGCAAGCUGCUGCUAGUUCUAGAGUGCUUGGGCAUGCUACCGUUGUAACUAUAAUAAACAGCUGCAGAUGUGCUUAUCGCUUGUUUGUGCUUGUGAUUUCACGGGCGGGCAUCCACCGUGUGUUUGUUGUGAGAUUUGUUCACCUGUGUGGCUGUGUUGCAGUGCAGUUGCAUCGAAAUGUUUUUACUUUGCUACUAAUCACAUCCCCGCGGAUAACGCGGUGAUUUCCAUCAGCUGCUGUUUGGAGCCGACGUUUUGGUUUCUCAUGUACUAUGAAUAUGUGAUGCUUGUCGGAUAUCUUUGCUGUGCCACAGUAGAGAAAAAAAGUUUCACAACAAAACGUCAAGGAGCCUGCCCAAACUUAUGCAGUCCAAAAGCAACAGCGUAAAACACUGGCUGAUUCACACUCUGAAGCUCGGCCCUGAUAUUGUGCUUUAGCAAACAGUUAUGGUUAUAUAAGCUCACAUAUUAAGACUUUGAGGUGCACCCCUAUGGUUUCUAAAGUUCAAAAAAAAAAAACACUCAUACUGACAGAUUCAGUUCGACAGCGCGCCUUUCAACAACAAAUAAGUAACAACGCAAACAACUUUAUGCUUGAAAUCACAAUCAACCAAAGGCGCGUAGCCUUGAAUUUCAUUAUUUCAGCCCAUCGAAACUUGGCUAGAUGCUAAGAAUAAAAAAGAGACACAAAAAAGAAAUAAGCGCCCGCUAGGCUUCUUGUCCUCACAGCCGCACUAGGGUUGCGGCCCACGAGACUAUUUGACCGGUGACCAUUGACUAUUCAUCCUUGGCAUCCAAGCAUUGACCGCUGACGAUGGCUGUUGACCAUUGAAUUUUGGGGAAAAAAUUAUAAAGUUGGAAAAAUCAUGGAGUUGAUUUUUUUUACAAUUUUUUUAAAGUUCAAGAAUUUGAAAAAUGUUCAUGAAUCCAAAUAAAUCUUCAUUUAAAAAAUGAAUAAAAAAUAUAUUCAUGAAUUUGAAAAGUGUUAACGUCUUUAAAAAAUGUUCAUGAAUUUGAAAAAAGUUCGCAUAUUUGAAAAUGGUCACAAAAAGUGGAAAAAAUUCACGAUUUUUUUAGAAGUUCAAGAUAUAAGAAAUUUCAUAAUAUUUUUUAAAAAGAAAGAAAAAACAAAACGAAAAAAUGAUGAAAGAAAGACCAUAGAAAACCCAGCCCAAAACCAUUGGGAGGAGAGAUAUUGGGCCGCACCAUACUUAGAUCUUGUGAGCAGGGGGUGUACGCCCUGCGCGAAGACAACAUCUCGCUUAUGGGGAGUAUAGCAUGUCUCUCGCCUGAAGAAUCCCCCUUCUCCAUGUAGCUAUCACGCCGAGCCAUUGUUCGUGUUUUUUUUCGUGUGCUGUGUUUCGCUACCGACACUUGUGGUUUUGUUCAGUCAUUGUACUAGUUUUGUCUCAUUUUUAUUUUUUGAUUCUUUUAUUAUUUUGUUUGGGUUUCUUUGUGUCUUCACUCGCAUCUUCGUCGGCUAACGAGGGCAUGUUGCGGUGGCAUCAUGGCUUAUGUUGCAAAUGACGGUUCCAAAUCUUCGAGUGCUACAUGGGCCAAGCACUCGUCGUGCAAACCUUCGCGCACAACAAGAUCCAUUUGGUAAACCUUUGAGGACAACAUGGCCCAUGUGGCAAACCUCAUCAAUUGGAUUGGACCAAGCACAACACGAGUCAGAUCGAACGACUAUCCCAUGAUGGAUCCAACGGCUUGCGAGCCAGUUAAUCUAUUCAAAAGAUCAGCUGGACGGCGCCUAGCCUUGAAUUUCUUUUUGAGGGGUUGUCGGGCCUUGAUUUACUGCAUUUUUGGGUGUGUUUCCAGCCUGAAAAUAGCCCGGCCCGGCCCACAAAGAAAAGAAGAAAAUUCUAACCUAGCCACCCACCCACUCGACCUCCGAUUCUGCCGGCGGCGGUCGGUCGGUCGCUGCAGGCUGCAUCUAGCUUGGGCAUAGCAUAGCCGGCGGGGACCUCCAGGCGGCGGGGCACCUUCGUUUCGUCGCUCUCUCCUCUGCUUCCUGGAGGUCCAAGUCGUCCUCUCCUUCCUCGCUCGCCGGUCAAGAUCUCCACUUCGCACUCGCGGGCAUCCUCGGGAGAGCAAACUAGAAGAAGAAGAAGGUAAUCCGCUGUUCCUAGCUAGCUUGUAUGCGUUUCUGCUUUUCCAAAAUGGCGAAUUUACAUAGUAUCUGUGUCGGUGCAUUUUAGGACCGGACUGCCGUGUGGGUGCAGUGAAGAUCCCUUUGACCAGUAACGAACGAAUCCAUAGCUGCUGCUUGCCGUGAGGGAUGGCCGGAAGCGGCCUGUGGGUAGUUGGAUUGGCCUCCCUUCUUGCACUCCCUGGGAUAUUCGUCUCCAUCUCCGUCGAGGCCAGCCCGGGAGAUGCUGAUCCGCACUACAGGUGAGGUGACACACACACACUUCUUGACUCAUCUCCUGUUGCAGUUGGUUAAAAAUAUUAAAUCUCCUUUUCUAUCUCGAAAUCGUCAUAUCUUAGCCUUGUUGGUACUGGAAUCCAUAAUUCACUAUCCUGCAGUUUGAUUCCAAAUAUAUGAACCGGAAAACUGGAGACCGUGGAUCUAACAUGGUUAUUGUUUGACUUCGCCUUGACAAUGGAAUGAUAUAGAACCUUAAAGUAUUGUGGAUGCAUUGUUUUUAGGAUAGAAACACAAUUUGUAUUCCUGGCCGACAGAUGGACAAUUAAUCAAGUUUCAGCUACCACACAAUACUUACUGAUUAAUCUUUGCCACCUAACGUACAAGGCCCCGCCCCCCGCGUCGCUCCAACAGGGGCGACACGGGCGGCUAACCCUAGCCGCUGCCGGCGGUCCCCCUCCCCUUUCUUCUCCUCCUCGUCGCCACUAGAGGAGCCGCCGAUGCGUCGCACGGCUGCCGAGGAAGGUGGCGGCGAGGCCUUCAUCGUCCCUUCGCGGAGAUCUGGAUCCACGGGGCGGCGGCCCCUGCUGGUUCGGCGCCGCCGUUCGCGCUCUGGACGGUGUGCGCAGGGACUCUGCCCGGCGUCCUCAACCGCUCGGGUGGUGGGGAGUCGGCGCUUGGCGGCGGCAGUUCGGGGGCCUUCAUCCUCGCCAGAUCUGGAGGCCUGCUACUCCAUCCUUCCCGCUCCUUCCCCUUUGCGCUUGUGGCCGGUGGAUGCUGCUGGUUCCGGUGCUUCUGGGGAUGGUGGUGCAGAUUGGGACCGGGGGAAACCCUAGGCCGGCUGGUUCGGCUCGACAGCGGCGUCGGCUUCGGGCGACGCAUCCUUCCUAAAGGCGGUGUCGUGGUCCUUAUUCUUGUCACCUCCGGUCCUCUCCCGGGUGAAAACCCAAAAUCCGGUCUGGAUUGGGCAGCGGUGGCGCCAUGGGCGUCAUCCCCUCCUUGGAGGCGUUGCCUGGGGAGCUAGGAUUCGGGUGUGGGCUCAUGAAGGUGGGGGAUUUGGCUGCCGGCUGGAUUUCUGCAGCUGCUCGCGGCGGCUUUCAGGUUGUGCAGAGUGCCCCUUGUAUCUUGAGGGCGUUUCCUGUUUUUCGUGUUCGCGUCGGAGGAGCGGCGUGGCAUCUGGUACGUCGACAACGGCGAGUCUCGGCGGCAUGGAGCAGUAGGGGUAUCGCCGGUGGGCGUGUGAUGAUGGACGAGCGCAGGAUGGUGGCGCUGUCUGGCGUCGUGGUGGCGUCGAUGGCAGAGAGGCCUGGCACGGUUCAUGCAACAGUACAGCUCUGAAGAUGGAUUGAUGGUACGUGGCUGCGGCGGCCUCAUACCCGGCAGGGGGCCUGGUUGAAGAGCACGCCGGACUGGUGGGUGCCCAUACCCGGAAGGAGUCCUGGUUGGGACCUCAGGUCUCAGAUGUUAGGUUUGGCUGCGAGAUCUGUUUGGUAUUAGGCCCAGACCAUCAGCGCCCCUUCAUCAGUUAGAUAGGAGUAGCGACAGAGGUUGCGAAGAUGGUGGCUUUGGUCUUACUGUUGUACGACUUUGUAAGGUCUUGUGUUAUAAUCAAUAAAGUGUCCGUAUGCAUCGUCCAGAUGCAGAGGCCGGGGGUAUUCCUCCUUUUCAAAAAAAACACAAUACUUACUAGCGCAAGUAGUUAAUAAAUUGGUACUCCCUCCGUCCGGAAAUACUUGUCCUCAAAAUGGUUGUAUCGACUUAUUUUAGUUAUAGAUACAUCCAUUUUAUCCAUUUCUAGGAUAAGUAUUUCCGGACGGAGGGAGUACAAAGGUGGAUUCAGUUAAAUUGGCCGACAGAUGAACCUUUAGAUUAGAUUAGAUGCACAAAGAUUAAGUGGUGAUACAUGAUUGGUAUUCUUGCCAUGGCAAAUUAGUCCGUCAUACUUAUUAGAUGGAGAGAGAGACUGCAGGUCAGACAAUUUACUAUUAGAUUCAUAGGAGCACUAGCUAGAGGUUAGAUGCAACUCUGGUUACUAUACUACCGCACCUACUUAAGAGCAAUUUAAAAGUGUAUAAACAUAUCAUACAUAUGUUGGUAAUGGUUGUUACUAUAUGUUUGAUCCUUUCGUGUCACUUCAUUGUGAAAUACAGUAUGUUUGUGUUCUCGUGCUGACUUGACUGAAAUUAUUUAUGUUAAGAAUUGCUAUAAUGGUUGUUGGUUGUUACAAUAUAAUUGAUCCUUUCUUGUUACUUCAUUGUGACUUGUGACAUACUCCCUCCGUUCCAAAAUAGAUGACCCAAAUUUAUACUAACUUUGUACUAAAGUUAGUACAAAGUUGAGUCAUCUAUUUUGGAACGGAGGGAGUAUGUUUUUGUUUCUUGCCGACUUGACUGAAAUACUGGGUUAGCACUUCCCUCCUAAUCCAAAAGAAGGCACACACUCUUUUUGGAAGUCAAGUUUGACCAUGAUGAUUGAACUAAUAAAAUGUGGGUUAUGUGUCACAAAAAUUAAACCAUUAAAUUUUUAUCCGAAAAAAGACAUAGUAUGUCUUUUUAUACGAUUGUCUGAUUAUGAAAAUGAUAACAAACUAACUCAUUUUUGCAGCAGUUGCUGUGCAUCUACUGACCACCUUUAGCUAACUAUUGUGACAUCGUUGCCUCAGUUAUUGUUGGAAUUUUUUCAUUUUAUCGGUCUUGAUUUGUGUGACAUAUCGUAGAACUAUUUGUUAGGAGUUAUGCAUUGUGUUAGGGGCUGUACUUCAUUAUGAUAUCACAUUGUUUAGAAGUUUCUGGUAACUUGCGUCGUGAUUGACCUGCAGAACUUGUGUGGGGGAGUGUCAGAAUACGGGGAUUAUUGGAGGCAACAUCAUCAGUCACUGUCAGUCCCGGGAGAACGACAGCAUAUCUGCUGGAAGUUCUUGGUACACACAGGAGGCUCUUCGUGUGCAGUGGAAGCAACUAAACUGUAUGACAGACUGCCGCUACUACUGCAUGAUGCGAAGAGAAGAGGAACGGCGAUUAGGUGGCCUGAGCCCUGUUCAAUAUCACGGAAAAUGGCCCUUCAAACGUGUUUCUGUCUUCCAGGCAUGUAACAUUUGGCUUGUAUGUUGAUGAGUAGUGAGACUAGUAUUUCACCAUGAUGACUAGUUGACUACUACUAAUAACUUGUUUGGCAUUUAUUAUCAGGAACCCCUGUCAGCUGCACUGUCUGCUCUCAACCUAUUGAUGCACUUCACUGGCUGGCUUUCGUUCUUCCUGCUAGUGAAAUACAGAUUACCUCUUAGACCUCAGACGAAGAAGACGUACUACGAAUACACUGGCUUAUGGCAUAUCUAUGCAAUAUUAUCAAUGAAUGCAUGGAUCUGGAGCUCUGUAUUCCAUACCAGGUGCACAUUUGCUCAAUCAAAGCUUGGGCAUGCUGCUGUCAUAAUAAUAUAUUUAAUAUCUUGCUCAGCAUCAUUCAUUCUUCAUUUUGUAGGGAUAUUGACUUGACUGAGAAAUUGGAUUACUCUUCAGCUGUGGCCGUACUUGGCUACUCUUUAAUCCUUACACUGCUAAGAAUUUUUAAUGUCAAGGAGGGGGCUACCCGGGUGAUGUUUGCUGCACCUAUUCUAGCAUUCGUCACAACACACAUCUUGUAUCUUAACUUCUACGAGCUUGACUACGGUAAAGUUCCUUUUGCAUCUCCUAGAGUAUUUUUUACCUUGCAUACAGUUGCACAAACAGAUUAAUUCAUGUGCAUCUUCUGUGUUUAUAUGCCUGCCUUUUCUUCAGGAUGGAACAUGAAAGUUUGUGUGGCGAUGGGAGUGGUUCAAAUUGUCGCAUGGGCAAUCUGGGCUGGUGUGACCCAUCAUCCGUCACGGUUGAAGCUUUGGGUCGUUGUGUUCGGAGGAGCUCUAGCUAUGCUUCUUGAGGUGUUUGACUUUCCUCCAUACAAGGGGUAUGCCGAUGCGCACUCGCUGUGGCACGCGAGCACCGUUCCCCUCACCUAUCUUUGGUGGAGCUUCAUUAAAGAUGACGCAGAGUUCCGCACCUCCACACUCACACUGGUUAAGAAGGCCAGGUGAAUUAAAGGUCAUUAUGUUGUUCGGUUCUCUCAAGGCAACACAAGCAAAAGCUCGGUAUGCUCGGUAUUCCUGGGAUCGAUCAGCAUCUUGUUUCUGUGGCUCUAGCCCUCCUGACUUUUGUUUUGAUCUAUAUGAGGAAUAGUUGUGUAGUAGAAAAAGUGACAUUAUCUUUUUCCGUGCCCGUUGAGACAGUUGAGCCUGUGAGUUUCAAUAGAAGCUUAUAUGAAGCUAAGCAUUGCAGAAUGAGCCGUCAGAGAUGAUGAGAUAUUUGUAGGGAAUGUGUGCUGAUUUCUUCAUAGGACUGCUUGUUUCUAUGACACUUUUAUAUCUCACAAACUGGCAAAAAGGUACUCUCUCCGUCCGAAAAUACUUGUCAUCAAAAUGGAUAAAAAAGGAUGUAUCUAGAACUAAGAUAUGUCUAAAUACAUCGAAAAUGCAUAGGAGCUCUCGGGUGCUACGCCCACCUAUAUUCAAAAAUAAUUUAGUAAUUCAAAAAAAGUCAAAAAAUCCCGGCACUUUUUAUGAAAUCAAACAUGACCAGGUAUUGCACUUGUAUAAAAAGAUUUAAAUAGGAAAUGACUUUUAUUGUAUCCGGGGUCAAAGAUUUCCCAAAAAAAUGCUAGAUACAAGUACUAUUCAUGCUAUAUUGUUGUCAUAAAUUUGUUUUUUUUUUGCCCUGAAGUCAACGAGAAUUAUUCCUUGGCCAAACAUUUUAUAUGAGUACAAUACCUAGUCAUAUUUGGUUCAAAAAUAUAUCCAAGAUUUUUUUCGCUUUUUUGAAUUACUAAAUUAUUUUUUAAUAUAGGGGGGUGAAGCACCCGAGUGCUCCUAAUCCGCUUUCCUAGAUACAUCCCCUUUUGUUUAUUUUGAUGACUAGUAUUUUUGGAUGGAGGGAGUAGUAUUUGAGUUUCCCAGUUCAUGACAGUUGGUUCCAGCUUGUAUGCAGGUCAAGAAAAAAGAAAAGAAAAAAAAAUACUUACUUGCAAACAUAUAACAACAGCAGCAUGGUAGAGGCAACUGGAAAUUAAUACAACAAACAUGGAGGUGACGACUUCCUAUUGCAUCAUCGUAUUUGGGAGCCACACACCAUUUUUAUUAAGGGAACAAAUGGCUACACAUUAGCUCCAAUUAUUCAAACUUCCACGGAGUCAUAUACUACUGUCUGUCUAUGAUUCUGAUUUCCACAUCAUUUUCCAUCAUUCACAAAAUUGCAAUUUCCUUUCCUGUGUGAACCACCACCACAGCACAUAAUUGUUUUCCUUUUAUAACCACGAUAACUAGGAUUAGCGAAUGAACUGAAAACAGUGACAAGAGCUGAGUCCCCCAACUCAUCACAUUUGCUGUUUAAAACAGUGAUGGCGGUGGUCGAGGUAGUGGGCGGUGGCGGUGUUAGGCGGUUAGGCAGGCAUUGGAGGGUGGGGCGGCACAGUGGGAGGAAGAAGAAGGCUACAACCAGAGGGAUUGGACUGAAACCUAUUUGUUUUUCAUCAGUUAAUAACUGAUGCUUAGGUGAUCCUUGAUAUUAUUCUCAAAUUUUACCCUUAGUCUAUCUACUAGUAACUACAAAAAAAAGUUAGGGUGAGUCAUGAACUUAGAGAAAAUAUACAUGGGCCGUUGGAUGUUGCUUUCCGAAGCCCAUCUAGGCCCAAUAAAAACCCUCUUGACGUGAUCAUCACCCAGCUCAUGCCGCCGCCGCAUUCCCCACUCACUCUCCUCCCUCUUGUGCCGACCGAGAACUAACGGCAAGGAGCGGAGGCGGCAGUGCUCUUCGUCUUCGUCCCCAAUCUACCAGCCCACCCCAGUCCCGGGUGCUCCUCGCCGCGGCAGGCAACCGGCUGCUAUUAUCCAUCCAUCGUCCUACGCUAACGCUACCCUACCUCCGGAUUGAAUGGCAGGUCACUGCGAGGUUUCCGCCGUCAAUGUAGCUGAGAAAGGUUCCUACUUGCUCAAGGUACAUGGAUACUCAAGAGGGAAGGAGCUAUUCAGCAAUGGUGAGUGCACGGCUUCUUCCCCUUUCAGUGUUGAAGGCCACAACUGGACUGUGAGGUAUUACCCAAACGGUUAUUUGCCAAAACAUGCCAAUGAGAUAGUUGUUCGCUUGCUUCUUGAUUCAGCUGGUGCCAAGAAUGUCAAGGUGAAUGCCAUAUUUAAGGCCUCUUUUGGUUCAUAGGAUAGGAUUAUCGUAGGAAUAGGAAUUUUGCAGGAAAUGAGAUGACAUGUAUCUCAAAUCCUAUGAGUAGGAAUAGGAAACGAGAUGUUAUUUGGUUGACACCAAAGGAAUUUUUUCAUUGAGUCUAGGCUCAUUUUUAUUUUCCUAUGAAAUGUGAAGGAUAGGAACCAAUCCUAUGUAGGAAUAGGAAUCCAUUUAUAUGAACCAAAGGGCUCUGAAGGAAAAAAAUUUAUAAGAAUCCUAUCCUCUAGAAUUCUUAUGAAAUUUUUCCAAACCAAAGGAGGCCCAGUAUGGUGGCAACCAGUUUGGCUCUGGCUGAGCAGCAUAACUGCAAUGGACUCAAGGAAGCUUGCCUCAAGUUCCUUGCUUCUCCAUCCAAUUUGGAGGCGAUGAUGGCAAGUGAUGGCUACGAGCAUCUGAAAAGCAGCUGCCCAUCUGCCCUUAAGGAGCUGAUUGCUAGGCUCCUGCCGGCUCAAAUGAAAGCGGCCAAGGAUAUUGUCAUGGCACUUUAGUACCUAGCGUGGCCCAUGAUGACCCUACCUGAAUUAGUUAAGUAUAUACUCCCUCCUUUCCCAAAUAAUUGUCUUUCUAGCCAUCUCAAAUGGACUACAACAUACAGAUGUAUGUAGACAUGUUUUAGAGUGUAGAUUCAUUCAUUUUGCUCCGUAUGUAGUCACUUGUUGAAAUCUCUAGAAAAACAAUUAUUUAGGAACGGAGGAAGUAUAUAAUUAUAUAUGCAUGUUUCAUCUUAAUUAGUUCUCUACGUAUGGUAUGGUUGGAUGUGUGCCUCAGGAGAGAAAAAACUGCUAUCUAUGCUACAUUGCUACCUGUUGGCUCUGAAGUUUUAUGUCUGUCCAGUCCAGUGUGUAAGGAACUCUAAUUUAUCUUUCUAGGACCCCUUUAAUCGAAACUGUACUGAGCUACUUAUUUAUAUAUAUAUAUAUAUAUAUAUAUAUAUAUGUAUAUAUAUAUAUAUAUAUAUAUAUAUAUAUAUAUUGCUAGUAGAAUGAGAUUGAUUGGAUCACCCACUAUGUUUUCUAUAUAUUAGCUGAGAAGAGAUGCAUGAAUGCCGAAAGAGGGGUUUGUGCUUGCUUAAUUUUUUUUCUGUGUUCUGCAAGGAAACUUCAACUACCCUGUGUCUCUAUGCAGACUUUUACUUUGCCUGAUCUCCCUUUUUUUUGACAAUCUUACUUUGCGUGAUCUCAUAUAUAGGGAUUUGCAUUCCUCAUGGGAGUUCUGCCUCCCUAUUUUUUCUCAGGGGAGUUCUUUCCUAAUCAAUAGUCGUGUCCCUGAAUCAGGCAUUAUAGUGUUCUUGUUGUUUCUUUUGGACUGCUUAAGGGAGCUCCUCGUUGUACAAGACGAACAAGUGAAUAUGCUGUAUAAUUCAUGUUUGCUCUGAAUUUUUGUUCUAGAGUGUAAUUGUUUGUCCCGGCUUCCGGCUGAGGAAGUGUGGAUAUCAAUCUUGUGUUUUUUGUCUCUUUUCUUUUCAUCUUCAGUGUGACUUAGUCGAUAGCUGAAAUAAUCUUGUUUGAUUAAUAAAGUGUUGGCUCUCCUUUGGUUGGUUGUGAUUCCAAGCAUAAAGCUCUUGAUGUUAGACUGACAACCGCCGGAUUCCGCCAUGUGACGCCUAGGUCUCUCUUCACCUGUCGGAAGGGAUAGUCGAGCUAAGAUCCAUGCAAAAACUCACAUCUUGGCAGGGACCUUCGUCUCCCACAAGUGUCGCCAGCCCUGCAGGUAAAUUUUGUCAUCAGAAAGUUACUCAUCGGCUAACUUCACUAAAAACAAUAAAUAAGAGCUCCUCAAUAUUUCAUUUUGCUCAUUGGCAUGUUUUUACCAGGUUGAGUGGAUGAAGGCUCGAAUACCAUGGAUGAAAUACUUGUUAGGAUAAUCUCCACUGUGUGGGCCCAACGGCCCACCGGGCCCUUGGAUCCGCGCCCUGAUCGGGGGCGCUCAACCCACGCCCUUGGAUCCGCGCCCUGAUCGGGGGCGCUCAACCCACUAUGGGUGACGGGUGACGGGCCCUGUCACCUGCACUAUAUAAAGAGGUGGGGACCGGCGGCUCGCAUCACGAGGUUCGUCACAGUGUCGUACACCCUACCUAAUCCCCUACCAGGUUAGUGCAGUACUGAUGGAAAGCGCCGCCACCACUUUGCCCACUACUCGUAGCCAUACACCAUGGCCACUUUGGCGGGUUCAUCCACCUAUGGAGAAGGUAAACCACCACAAACCACCGAUCUAAUCUAGCCUAGUGAUCCACAGCAUCUAUCAAUGGUAUCAGACAAGGCUAGAAUCUAGAUUAUUUUCGGUACAAAGAAAUCACAGAAAAAAGAUUCAUCCAAGAACCCUAACUAAAGAGGGAAAAGAACUCCUCGUCGAAAAAGUUGCGCCGCCGCAAGGACGCGCCGUUCCUCUCGAUCCAGACGGGCAUCGGCAAGCCGAGCCGUUCGGACGAAGAACACACCCCCACUGGGGCAAAGGGCACCACCAACGAGCCGUUUGACGGCGGCGCGUUCACCCUAGAGGUGCUCGUGCACGCCGGCAAAGGGGUCAGCGGGGGCGCCGCAUCUGGAAACCGCCGUCGCUCGCGCGAAGGGGAGCAGAGGAGUCUCUCUCGCGCUGGGGCACUGGUGGAUAAAAAGAAGAGAGGGAAGGGGAACGGCUCGCGCGGCGCAGUGGCACUCGCCGCCGUCCACGGCGGCCGGAGCGGCCCACCAGGGCGCUGCCCUUUUUUCCUCGACAGAGACGGCGCCGACGGGACAGAAGAAGGGAAAGAAGAAGGGAAACAGGAAAGAAAGAGACAGAGAAGAAGCUAGUCGCGCUGGCGCUGCUCCUCGCCGUCGUCGCCGGCAAGCCGCCGGGCACGGCUUCCUCUCCUUGCGCUCGCUGCCGUCGUGCGGGAGAGGAAGAUGCGGAGAGCGAGAGAGGCGAGCGGCGCGCGAGAGGGGAAAUGACUAGGGUUCCUCUCGCCCCCUCACCGCAUCGGCCGUUUUUGCUCGGGCGGAUCGCGCGCUGGGCCAUCGGAUCUGAUCUGACGGUCACGAGUUAAACGCUAGCGGUGCUGGGCUUCUGGGCCAAAGGGGAGGAGGCCGCGCUGGGCUGAGGCCGGCGGCCCAGGCCGAGGAGAGGCUGGCUCGCGCGAGCACGCGGAGCAGCAGACCUUGGACUGGGCUGUGCUGAGAGUUUUUUUUGUUUGUCUGUCCAGUUUUCUAUUUUAUUUUCUGUUCAAAUUGAAUUCAGCGAAAAUUUGUCUAGAAAAUAGAAAAGUGAUAGAAAUUUUUUUGAAAAGUAAAAUAAAAUUUUCUGAAAAGAAUAAAGUCAUGAGUUUUUUAUUCGAUGUUUUUUGUACAAUUGUGUACAGUUUAAAUCUCUAGUCAGUUGGAACCAACGAGAUAAUUGAUUCGAAAAUAGAAAAGUAAAGAAUUGCUUCUGAACAGUGCUAUUUUCAUGAAGUGUAUUCAUAUUUUCCACUGUGAAAGAUUAAAUUGUUGCUUCUCUAAUUCAAUUUUGAACCAACCGGUUAAAAUUGCUUAGAGAGUAAAAGAGUACAUAAUUGUUUCUGAAUAGAAUAUUAUAAAGUUUCCACUACAAAGUAAAAGUAUUAUCCUCCAACAAAAUUGGAACCAAUGGGAAAAUUUAAUUGAAAGAAUUGUUCUUAGCAAUGUUUUUCCCUGUGGGUGAAAUAAGAUGCAGAUAGUUUCCGAUAUAAUAAAAAAAAGAUAUUUCUUUUAAAAGUUAAAAUAUGGUAUUGUUAUUUUCUGACCAACGUUGAUGAUAACAGUACUAUAAUUCUAUGAGUCUUAUGUUCAAAGCUUAAAUCUCUGAUAAAUUUUGUAUCAAAGUGAUCAUUUUUCAAAGAAGAGUUAAGAUGAAGAAAUGCUCUUGAACUAGAUAAAUGUAUAUUUCUUGUUUCCGCUGCAAUAAAGUUGAUGAUGAUGAUUAUUUCUUAGCAAAGUUGUUUAAUAGAAAUACUAUCAUCACAUUGUCUAUGAGUUAUAUGCAUUAUUUCCAUUUCCGCCCAACGGUGAUAUGGAGUUAAUUUAGAAGAAUGAGUUUUAUUCUAAUUCUACCGCAAUGGUGAUUUAGAGUAUAAAAAGGAAGUUUUACAAAAGUUUAAUGUGCAUAUUUUUUAACCAGACUAACGUAGGGUUUUUUCAUGCUCAUUAUUGUUGAUUAUUGGCUAUGUUUUCUCAGAUUAAAAGUUUUCCAUGCUUUCAUUUGUGAAAGCGAAUGGCUGGGUACUUGUGACCCGAAAGAUGACCAGGAAAGGUCAUAACGUGAGGGAGUAUGUUCUCUCUAAAGAAUGGCUUCAAAAAAAAAUAAUUCUUGGACAUUAAUCCAAGAGAAGAAAACAGAUAGAUCAUUGAGAGUUUUGGUUGACGGAUGUAUUUCAUGUAUUCUAUAUGAAGAAGAUUUUUCAGUCAACAUGAUUUGAGAUGAAACAAGCAACAUGCAUGUUUAAUUUGACCAACGUCGGAUUAAGCAUGUGUGUCAAAGAGCGUUCGGAUUUAUUUCUGAAUUUGAUGAUUGCAUAUGCAGUCAAAAGAGCCAAUUCUGACAUUUAUGUUCCUUACAAGGAAUUACCCGCAUAGCGUGAAAAGAGGACUAUGAUAAAACCCGCAUGGCGGGGAAAAGUCUGGGAAAAUACCUGCAUAACUGGGUAAAGUUGACAUAGUAUUAUGUCAAAAAUCCUAUAUGGCAGGAGAAAUUUUGGCAAAGAACUUAUCCUGUAUGACAGGAGAAAGAUAUGAUGACUCAUGUACGUUUAAUGUGUCCCACUCUCGGAGAAAAGUAUGGAGUAACUAUUAUGCUUUCCUAAUAUCGACCGUACACCUUAUGUGUAACGGUCAUUAAGCAUUCGAUAAAUCCAAAGAGAAUAAAAGUGAGAGACGAACCUAAAGAUAAGAUUGAUAUGCAAGUGUUACUUGCAAAAGUACUAAUGAUAAAGAACUUUGUUGGGUUUCCGAAAUGGAAUGAGGAAAAAGUACUCCCAUAUCAGUUAACAGAUAACUUUAUUUCGUAUGAAGUAAUCAGAUGAAUGAAGUAGAUAAUCAAAGUUUCCUCAACUCAGAAGAGUUAUGAAUGGUUUUCGAAAUUGUGGCAGAAAAGUUCUUGCCAAAUUUCGAGGGGGAGAAAGAAAUAUGAGAUAAAUUAAGAUUGAUGAAACUCCCCUAUACUUUAGAUAACGUGAUGAAGAAUGUGAUCGUCUGGGGGAGUACGACAGUCAUAAUCAUACCCCUAAAGAAAAAACAUAGUUGUAUUCCUGGAUCUUUUACAGUUCCGAAAGCAGACCAAGGAAUACUAAGACGGUGCUUAAAGUGCCAUAAAGAAGAAAGUUUUCACAGAAUAAACCCAAAUAAUAAAGUUUAAAGAUACGCCAUUUUUAGUGAAGAUGGAGUAAUCUGGGGGGGGGGCAUGGUAUGAAAAUACCAAAGACUAUAGAAUUAAUUUGCCUCUUGGCAGUGACAGAGCAACAACAACCCCAUAUGAAAGAAGUGCUAGUACCUGAGACACAGAUGGUCUUAAGGAACGAGAAAAUCAGAUACUUCUGAUUACUAUAAAGUCUAUGUUAGUGAAAUUCAAAUGGAGGUUGAUCCCACCUCAUUUAAAGCGCUCAAUCGAGUUUUGAGACUCAUAAGCAAUUUCCAGUGAAGCCAAAACAGUAGGCUGUAAAGGGUCUAUAAGGUUAGUGUGACUCCAAAGGAAAUAUGUAAAGGUGUAAAGCACGACUUAAAUUGAAAGUUUUUGUGCAUGAUCUAAGUUACAUCAGAUGAAAGUAAAGAACACAAGGGAUACUGCUUCAAGAAGUCUUUUGUGGACUAGAGCAAGUCUCUAGACAGUGGCAUUUAAAGUUAGAAGAAUCAGAUGUUUUUUGGGUUAAAGAAAAUGAGACGACAAUUGUAUUCAUGCAAAGUUAUAGAAUGGGAAAUUCAUUUCCUAAUCCUGUGCAUGUGGAUGACAUCCUACUUGCUAGUGGUGAUGUCAACCUACUACAGGAGGAGAAAAGAAGUUCUUGUCCUCAAAGUUCAAAAGAAUGUUCUUGGUAGAGUGUCUCUCGUUAUAAGUAUCAAGAUUCAUGAAGAAAAGAAUAAAAGGGGGUAUUCGUGAUGUCGAAUGGACAUGCUAAGAAAGGUCUCUAAAGUAUGCAUGCGAGAAAACCUACGCCUGUUCUUAUAGUCAAGGGUAAUGGAACUGAAAACUAUGGUGUUCCAAGAGUUGAUGAGAAAAGAUUGAAAACGGAUAUGGUACCAUAUGCUUCAGUUGUUGGAAGCUCAAUACAUUACCCUGGCACAGUUCACGUAUCCGGAUUGUUUUGGCAAUGUCCAGUCCAUAUAUAGAUCACUGGAAUGAAGUCAAAGAUAUCGGCCUCAUGCUGAAAGAAAUAAGUGCUCUCAAAAGAUUGUGAAUACAAAGACAUGCCUUGUGAAAUGUAUAGCGAAAUCCACAAUUGUCGCUAACUUUCAUACUUGAAGGUUUUUGUGUGGAAAAGCUCCAAAGAAUGAAGCAAUUAUCAUCAAUGUGAUGCAAAGAUAUUUUAUAGCUUGAUAUGAGGCUGAGGGACAGGCAAAAUGGUUAAGGAGACCUGUACCCGGAGUUGAUAAUGGUUGACAACAACGAUAACUAUUUUAAGUCUUUCGCUCCUAUGACAACAAGUCAAGUGUUGAUGCCAAACACACGGACCCAGAGUUAUGCAUUGUAAAGGAGAAAGUCCAAAAUUAUGUAGGAAUGCUUGAAGUAUCAAAGCAACAGACAAGUGUUUGUAGAUCUACUUAUUAAAGGCUUACCGCCCAGUGUGUUCGGAGAACACACAGUCGACAUGGGUUUUAUGGUAUAAUCUAAAAUUUCCGGACAAUAAAAGGGCCCAAGGUUAAAGAAUUUGUUUCAAAAUAGAGAGGUAUAUUGUGGCUGUCUGAUUCUAUCGGCAAUUGAGCUGUGACGAUGAAACAUGUUCUAUGUAUUGAUCCGUUAUGAAACGAGUAAAGUAAAAGUAUAAGGUCAAAAGUAAAAAUUGAGAUCAAGGGGGAGAAUGUUAGGAUGAUCUCCAUCGUGUGGGCCCAACGGCCCACCGGGCCCUUAGAUCCGCGCCCUGAUCGGGGGCGCUCAACCCACUAUGGGUGACGCCCCCUGUCACCUGCACUAUAUAAAGAGGUGGGGGCUGGCGGCUCGCAUCACGAGGUUCGUCGCAGCGCCGUACACCUCACCUAAUCCCCUACCAAUCUAGGGUUAGUGCAGUGCUGAUGAGAAGCGCCGCCACCACUUCGCCCACUACUCUCUACCAUCACCGUCGUAGCCAUCCACCAUGGCCACUUUGGCGGGUUCAUCCACCUAUGGAGAAGGUAAACCACCGCAAACCACCGAUCUAAUCUAGCCUAGUGAUCCACAACAUCUAUCAAUACUUGCCAGCAUACAUCUAAGGAUAGAAGCGGCAGUAAAGCGUUUAACCAUCAGGUUCGUACUAGCUACUAAUCUCAUAUUGCAACUCAUUAUUUUGCAACACUUCAUGCCUAAAGACUGUAACAACUUCCCUAUAUGCAUCUUAAUGAUUAUGAAUCAUAUGUUGCACCCUUUUGCAGUGGCGGGCAAAGUCUGCCACAAGCCAAGGAAACUCCAAUUAUGGGGUCGGGAACGGUGGCGGGGGCAGGAGCUGGAUGGACCACUGGAUCGUUGCACGGCCAUGGGAGCCCCGAUCUAUGGUCACCCCUGAAAAACACAAUAAGGGCCAAUCAAAGAAAGACAACACCAGCAUAAACCAGUCAGCUCUGAAGUUGCAAGGUGCAAUCAGUCUAAGCAACAACACCAAUGACCGGAAAGUUCCCAAGAAAAAGUCAUCCCCAUCUCCUGACAAGAAAAACCAAGUAGCGAGAACAGAGCAGAAACCAAAGGCGGCCGGCCCUAGGCCCUCCCAAGUCAAAGCCGAAGGACAUGGAAAAGAACCAAGGGAAGCAGCGACAACCUGCGGUUCCUGCGGUCACUGCUUGAAACCCACCGCAAAGCAGUUACUGGUCAUUGUAUGAUACAUCCUGUGGAGUUUCUCUUUUCGUUUACACUCUUAUGUGGUUUAUCUCUUACAUUGCUGUUUUACCGGAACAAAAAGUGACCAAUGUAGAAUGUAUUUGGUUUGCGCGAUUGCACACUUACCUAAUAAGAGUGGUUUUUGGUUAGGACUAGGAUCUCUACUGUGCAUUGUGUGCGGGUGUGUAAUAUGUUGUUGCCUCGGUCUGCUGGACGUAAAUGGUUCUGUUGGGACAAAAUUCAAGUUCCAUCUCUGUUCAUAACAAAAUUUGAACUUCUAGCACUAUGUAAAAUAUUAUUAUCGCGACCAUGACAGAACAAACUACUCUCUCCAUCAAAAUAUAUAAGGCCUAAUACGUUUUUCGAGGUAACCUUCGACCAUGAUUUAGAGUAAUAAUAUAUGGCAUGCAUGUUACAUAAAGCAUGUGAAAGAAGUUUCUAAUGAUAUAAUUCAUAUGUGAAAGAAGUUUCUAAUGAUAUAAUUUUUAUACUCCUUCCGUCCCAGAAUAAGUGACUCAACUUUGUAAUAACUUGAAUACAUCUCAUAUAUUAUUAAUCUUACCAAUGGUCAAAGGCAACCUCAAAAAAUGUAUUUAGGACCUAUAUAUCAAGUGUUAGUAGGCUGGAAAAUGAACAGUAACUAUAAUCUCAAGUAAACUUGCAACAAAUCUAAAGAAGAAAGAAAUCUUGAGGUGCUAGCACUAUGCCCAUUGUAUGGUGUUAAGGAUGAAGCUUUUUUCAUGCUUUGAGAGAGGUUUGGCCGCUGGAAUUCUGGUCAUGAAUGGCUAGUACACAUCAAGCUGGUAAUGGGACACGAGCAUCUGAAGCUGUUUCAACUUGCCAGACCAUGUUCGUCAUGCAAAUUUGUUCCAAUAAACCACCCUUCGGAUACAAAGGACCGAUUGAGCAAUGCAAUGCCCAGGCACAGGAUUUCACUCAUAAACCUUUGACAAGCAACACAACUCUUCAAAUUCAGUGCAUAGAGAAACGGAAGACACGUCGAACUGCAACUUACACUCAUAAUCUGAUUGUACAUACCUAGAGCAUUUGGAAAUUUCUCUUCUUUCCAGAGUUUGCACAGUUUGUGCGCACUGGUGAUGCACCGACCCUAGGGAAGAACCACCGUGCAGCUUUGUACUUUCCCGGCGAACCACCGACGGGGCGUUGAAACAGCACCUUCUGCUCCUCCAUGGAAUACACGCCCCAAGUGUCCUGUAUGUAGGUUUCGUCGAAUUCGCUCACAAAGUAGAUGCAGUUGCCCCUGCACCCCGGCGUCUCCGAUGCACGCACUGAGAACGACGACUGCUGGCUCACGAACAGCGCCCGGUCAUCGGCGAGCCUCUCCACUUUCACCCAUCGUGACCGCUCGAGAUCAGGCUUGCACACCUCGAAGCCUCUGAUGGUCUUGGGGCAAAGGGGUUCAUCUGGUGCGAGCACCGGGCCCACAAACAUGACCUCCCCUUCUAACUCGAGCAGGUGAGAGUUCCGGAGGUAGCGGUACAGGCAGAUCGGGGAGUACUGCUCGAGAAUGCUCGGCGCACGGAGCCUCACCAGGCGCCACGGCGACGGCGCACGCGUGUCCACGGUGUGGGUGAAGCCGAAGAACUCCAUGGCGUAGAAGAUGCCGCCGCUGUAGGCCACCAGGUCGAUGGCAUCGCUCCUUGUGAACUCUUCCGGCAGGAGCAGAUUCUGCUCGGACCACUCCUCCUCCUCGCGCCACCGGAGAGUGACGGUUCGCUCGAAAUACUGGCUAACGAAGAACGCGUCGGCGCCGGCCACGGCCCUGACCGUCGGUUGAAUCAGAAGCCUGUGCCGGGGCGGGUACAUCUCGAUGCUCUGGAACGCGCCGGUGACGGGGUUGACGAGGACGACGCGGUUGUCUUCCGCGAAGGAGAGGCCGCCGCAGGGCAAGGCGCCAGACAACUUUAUGCUGUCAUCUUUCGCGUGGCUGACCGUGGCCGGCAGACGGGCGGGGAUCACCGGCGCCGGCGACUCCUCGUCGUCGGUCGGCACGGAGAAGAUGGCGCCACGGCGGCGCUCCAAGUCGGGCACGAACAGGAGAUCGAGGAAGUACUCGUCCUCGUCGAGGACUUCGAGCGCGAACAGGUGCGGGGUGGGUCUCGCUAGCCGCUCGGAGAUGAUCGCCGCCCAGGACUUGCAGACGGAGGCGAAAGGCGCCGACUCGAGCGGGCUGAUGCGGCGGAGGAUCCUCUCCGUGAGGUGGAAAGGGAGGCCGCCGAUGGUUCCGCUCGCGGCAUCUCCGCCGUCGGCGGGUUCGUGUUGGAAAAGGGUCUUGCUUGAUGGAGUGGCCGUGUGUUUGAUCAGCUCCAUGGAGGAGAGAGAUGAGAGGAAUGUUGGGGUGUGCGUUGGCGCCGGCAGAUGGUGGAGGAGACGACGGGGCUGGCGGCGUUGGCCGGAGCGAGACAAGGGAAACGGCGAAGAGAGAGGUUGGGAGCCACGGUUUGGAGCGCAGCCACUGGGCCAGUUCGGACUUCGCAGACGGCUCUACAUAGAAGGCCCGUCUAAGGAGUAGUUNNNNNNNNNNNNNNNNNNNNNNNNNNNNNNNNNNNNNNNNNNNNNNNNNNNNNNNNNNNNNNNNNNNNNNNNNNNNNNNNNNNNNNNNNNNNNNNNNNNNNNNNNNNNNNNNNNNNNNNNNNNNNNNNNNNNNNNNNNNNNNNNNNNNNNNNNNNNNNNNNNNNNNNNNNNNNNNNNNNNNNNNNNNNNNNNACCGGUGCUGUUCAUCUUCGUUUUUUUUUUUCUUUUGAAAAAACAUUUCAUCUCUAUCUCUAAUUCUUACUAGUAAUUGUGCAUGCGCAAUGCGUGUAUCUACCAACAUAAAUCAAUGAAAUCACAUACAAGACCAUUAAGAAUAGACUUAUCGAAGCAUCAUUGUCAAACCCAAGCCUAGAAUGACAGUUCAACAACUCGACUCAUCCUAAUGAGACAAUCCAUAUUUUUCAGUGUCAGCACUCAUAUUACAUGAAAAAAUAUACAAAUCAACUGAACCAUGAGCAUUUUUUUAAUCUAUUCUCGUAGUAUCUUACUAAGAAAACCCACAUACGGCAUGUACUAACUUUCAUUUGUAAGCAUUAUCACCCAACACGUUGAACUCAAGUCUUGUCAUCCCUUCAGUGAUGCAAUGCAGUUUCAGUAAGAAAGUAAAAUAAAAAUCGUCAAAGCAUUAGUGAGUCUCACAAUAUGAUGUGGCAUGUAUCAAGCACCUAAGUAUUAUCUAUACCUUGCGCUCCUAAGUUGUGUGCGAGUAUUUUAAGUUCUUAUUUUAUUUUAUUUCUUCUUAAAAGGUAAUAUCAAUGCCAUCAAUUCAUUUUUCUUAAAAAAUCUUUUUUAAAUCAUAGCUUUUCAUUUUUCUUUUUAUUAUGGUAAUAUCAAUGCCACUAAAUCAUUCCUUCUUAAAUAAUUUCUUCUUUGUGAUUUUUUACUAUUAUAUGCUUACUCUUCCAUAUUGUAAAAAACACAAUUUCAAUGUAAUUUGUGUGCAAUUUUUGUCAUUAUUAAAUAUAUUCAUUUUCGUUCUUCAUUAGGUUACAAUGCCAUUAAUUGUGUGCAAUUUAUUAUUUCUUAUAAAACUUCAUCUCCUCUUUUAGUUUAAGUUUUUUACUUUAGUAUAGGUGGAAUAAUAAUGCUAGAGAAAGUAUAAGUUUUUAUCUUCUAUUCUGUUAAACAUAGUUGCAUAAUAUUAAUUUCUAUUGUAAUUUGUGUUUGUUUAAUUUAGGAUUAAUCCACUUCCAUGUUUCAUUUUUCCUUACAAAUAAUUUUGUUAUUCUUUGUUCAAAUUUUCUAUGAGGUAAAUGUUCUUUUUCUUUUUAUUUUAUUUAUCUAUAAUUUAAGUUGACAAAAGGUGAAUAUUCAUUUCUAAAUCCAGGCUCACCUGCUCCAGGUGAACAGUAAAUUAAAGAAAAAAACAGAAAUAUUCAAAUAAAUCUGUAUUUUUUGUCAACUAAAACACUCAAGUGCGCGAUGUCCAGGCAAAAAUUCAUCGUUUGCGGACAUCUGAGGAGCUUGUGGCAAAAAAGACAAAAUCGGCCCGAACAGUGUGUGAACAGUAAACAUUCUCACGUACCUCGAUUUUGGUUUUUGCUGAGAGCUACUCAGAUGUCCAAACACCACCAAAAUUAGCAUGGACAUCACACACUUGAACCUCUUUUAUGACAAAAAAAAUUCAUUGGUGUUUUUAUAGUAUCUUUGAGUUCACUGUUCAUACAAAGGAAGCAGAUGAGCUCUGGAGCCGCAUUGCUGCGUCAGGCAAAAGGUGCCUUUUUUUAAUUUUCUUAUCGGGUUAGCUGGCUGUAGGCUGCUUGAGCCCAAUUGGUUCUGGUCGUUUUGUGACCAAUGCAUAUGUUGGGCCUUGUGAGGGAAAUCAACUGAGUAUACGUUUUGUGUCCGUUUGAUCAAAUUUUUGCUAUAGAUGAGAAAUCGACUAACCCAAAUUCUAAAUUUAGGCAACAGUCAUAGGGUCCCAAUUUAAAAAUCAUUAACCUACUUAGAUUAUCUAGACAUAAGCAUACGACCUUUGUUCUCGGAAUGUUUUGUGUUCUAAUUUUCAUCGCAUACUCGACUAGACUAGGUUGCGAUCUACUUUCUAUGUCCCAUACUAUAUAAUAAUAUAAACGAGCUUGCUAAAACUCAGUCGAUUGAGAUUUAACCAGGUCCCAGUCGACCUUGCAGAAUUUCGUCCCAACGUUUGCAACAUUUCCCCCUAGCAAUUGCAACAUCUGUAUUGUUGGUUGUAGCAUGUCGUCUCAUCUGUUGCACCAUCCGUCAUUGACGGUUAUGGCAUUUUUAGUCAUACCGGUUGCAACAUCAGUUGUCGUUGCUUGCAAAACUGUCACGCCAUAUUUCAUCGCUGGUUGUAGCAUCUUAGCCGCGGCAGCAAAACAACUAUGCUGAAGUCACUUUACCCAGACUUCGUUCGAUUGAGUUCUACAUGCCUAAUAUAAAACGUGUUUGCAGUUUAAAUUGAACCACGAAAAUGUCUUAUAUCACAAGGCAGAGGCAGUAUCUCUAAAGUUCAAUUUCAAUAUAUACGACAUGAUGGAAUUUACCGAAUGUCUCGUGGACCUCGCGGUGCAAAUGUGGGCCAGAAGAUUUGCGAAGAUAAACAUUCCCCGAUGAAUUUCUAGCGAUCCCCAAAUUUACAGUUUCCCCACUGAAGUGCAGUCACUGUCCUCAUGCUGCCACAGUAUCUCCUCCAUCUCCUCUCUGAACCGGGGCACCGCCUCCUCCGGCACCGCGACGAACACCUUGAACCCUCGCCGCCGCCUCUUGUCCCCGGCGCCGUAGGGCAGCAGGAAGCACGGCUGCGUGCUCCCGAGCAGCCGCCACGAGAGCGGCAGCACGGCGUCGGGCCCGCCCCACCCGAAGUCCACCUCCGAGUGCCCCAGCCGCCGCCAGUCCGUGAACGCGCUCACGCCGCGCCGCCCCGCCGUGACGCCGCCCUCCCCGCGCCGCAGCUCCUGGAGGUCGACGUAGGACCGCACGUACUCCUCGUCCACCCCCCGCUUGCUCUUCCUGACCAGGGAUGCCGUCUCCGCCAGCGGCCGCCCGACGAGGUCGCCGGCCGCGAGCGCCACGUACACCGGCACGCACACGUUGCCCCAGUACCCCUCUGGCAGCGGCGGGUCGAGGAGCGCGCUGAUGUUCAUGGAGUACACCAUCUUCACGGUCUCGUCGGGGGCGGUUUGGUUGGCCUUCACCUUGGCGCGCCAGAUGAAGGCGGCGAGAACCUCGAAGGUCGUGAACUUGACGCCGGCGUCCGCGGCGAGCCGCGCCCUGAGCGCCUCCACGCGCGCGUCGCUGACGUGGAAGCACUCCCUCGCGAGCCGCUCGUGUCCCUGUCCGUCGCUCGCCGCGCCGUACGGGCCGAGCCGCGCGGCGUCGUCGUCGGUCGAGAGGACGGCGUCGAACGGCGUCACCACCCGCGGCGGGUCCCUGGGGCCCAGAAGCUCCCGGCGGUUCCACACCGGCGCCGCCGCGGCCUCCGGCUCCAGCCCCCGCGCGAACCGCGCGGCGGCGACGAGGAACUUGGUGGACCCCGCGCCGUCGCAGAGCGCGUGCGCCACCCGCAUCCCCAGCGCGACGCCGCCGCACGUGAACCGCGUGACCUGGAGCGCAAGCGCUGCCGGCCCGCCGUCGCCGUCGCCCGGCGCGAGGCGGUCGAGCAGCGGCGAGUCCGGCCUGUCCGCGUCGACGUCGGCCACCGACAGGUCCGUCGCCGCGAGGACGAGGGUCACAGCGUCGACCUCGCCGGCCCCGGUGAGCACGACGCGGCCGUCGUCGCGGAGGAGGGAGCCGGCGAGCUGCGGGAAGAGGCCGAGCGCGUCGGCGAAGGCGGCCUGGAGGACGUCGAGCGGGUCGAGGGAGACCGGGUGGGCGGGGAAGAAGCGGACGGUGCGGAAGGAGACGUCGAGCGCGUUGCGGUCGGCGUCGAGGCCGGAGAGCGGCAGCGACGACGCCGGAGGCUGCGGCGCCGGGAAGAGCCUGACGCUGUCCAGGACCCGCAGGUGCAGCUGCGGCGGCGGUAGGGGCGGCGGCGCCGGCGGCUCCAUGCGGUAGGGGAGCCGGUGCUGUCGCGGCGGCCGGCGGUGGGGCGGGCGGACAGAGGAGCUCGCUCGCGCUUAUUAAAACCCGGGGAAGUUUAAUUGGGUGGAUCGGAGUAGGUGGCCGUGGCGGGACGGCAGACAGAACUGGCCCGUCACGGCAGAGACCGAUGGCGACGCGGUUGGUGGAACAAACUUGUGCGAGGUGUUUCCAGGACGACGAAUGGCGACGUGGGAGCGCCGGGCGCCAGUAGUGCGGCGGCGCCGACACCACUUCAACUUCGCGGUCCGGCGGUUUCUGCUUGCAACACUGUUUUAGUACAUGGUUUUCAGAAACUUCCCGGGAAAUAGCUGUAUCUCUACAGGAUUUAAAAAGACACUGGUAUAUAAAUCCAAACAGUCGCACGUUUACAUCUAUAUAUACGAGUCGGCAAAUCUCACACAGUUAGGCACUAUUUGGUUCUAAGUAAAUCACCAACUUAUAAGUCGAAAAGUGCAACAAACGGACCCAACUUAUAAGUCAUAAGUUGCUGUACCCUAACUUAAAACUUAUAAGUCACCCCCUUUUGCAUGGGUCCCAUCAUCUUUACAUAAAAAAACAAGGUGAAAGAUGUGCUCAGAUGACUUAUAAGUCAGGUGGCAACCAAAUAGGUGUGACUUAUAAGUCACUGGUUUUAAGUCACCUGACUUAUAAGUCAGGUGACUUAUUGAAACAAAACAAGCCCUAAAUGUGUUCUUUUAUUUCUCCGGAAAGAGGAUAAACCUUCUUUAAAGAAUAUUCAUACUCCCUCCAUUGCAAAAUAGAUGACCAAACUUUGUAUUCCACUACCCUUUGUUAAAGAAUACCCAAUGCUAUCAAGCACAACCACGUUUGGUUAGGAGUGACAUGCGUGAAUAGAGUUUUUCUUUCUCAAACACAUACAGACACAUACACAUAUAUACUCACCCCUUUGAGCUUACGCACACACACCCUAUCUCUAUAAGCACCUCCGAGAGACCUUGAGCCGGUAGUUUUGAUGCACAAUAAUUUUCAAAUUCUUGCCACUUAAGGUUAAAGUAUACUAUAGGAUGAAUCAAAACUACUAGGAUCAUCCGUGUAAGUCCAGGGAUGAAUCUUGUCUGAUUUCAAUAGUUGAGGGUGUAAGUUGUCCGGUUUCAAAAUCGAUGGACUAAAUCUAGGCUCCGCCAAGAGUUAAGGGACCAAAAAUAUACUUUCUUGUACUUUUUAUGCAUUGGAGAGUUGCACUUGGUAAACCUAUGAAACCCGGUCCAGUUUCCACCAUAAGAUUCACCUUCCAACUUUUAUACGAUGUUCUAUUUUCAGUUUUGCUUUAUCACACAUUAUCUUCUAAUAAUCGGUUUGUUCAACUAGCAACACCAGCAUAGAUUGACACCUUUGUUAGAAUUGUUGGGGACACAAGAAAGAUUUUAUUUGUAUCACAGGACAUACAUCUGUGCUGGUACCUUGUGCCUUUGAUUUCUCACGAAGGGAAGGCUUACACGCUUGCUAGAAACUCUCACGCUGGGGAGCCACACACACAAGGGUCACUUCUAACGCCCGUUUUUUUUUACUAGUGAGCGUUGGACCAGAGGCGAAGCCACGUUGUGGCCAUGUAGUCAAGCGACUACACAGGAAAUCGGUAAGUUAACUACCCCCAGGUAAUAUAUGACUACAUAAAGGCCCAGCCGUAUUAGCUUUGUGUGUCAUUUGACUGGGCUAAAAAAAAUCAAUGGGAGCUUUGGACGGUCCGAUUGCAUUAGUGCCUGCCUGUGGUUGCGAACGUGUAAGCCUGGGCUGGAUCCCGUGAUCUUCUCUUUGACGGUUCGACUUUGAUUCCAUCUCCUCCUUCGGUCCUCCACACCCUCCAUGAUCUUUGUCCGUGCACAGCCGCCGGCCGCCGGCCGCCGCAGCUUCGGCAAUCGUCAUGCUCUCCAUCAGGCUUCAGCGAUCUUAGCCGUGAGGAGCGAGUGACACACCGUUCCCGUCGACGCCGGCGUCCGUCGGCAUCCGGUAUUGCUGUACGCUAUACCUGUACUGAUUGUGAUUGGCAUCACAUCCAAAGAACCCCUCCAGUUUGUAAGUUUUUUUUCUCUUCUAAUUAUUAUCUUUUACGAGCUGUAUAGGAAUUAUGAUAUUCUAGAUUGCUCUUCAAUCUUCAUUAAGAAAAAUGGAUCUUGUUAAAUCCAGAACAGAUGAAAGCAA
rnacentral:lncRNA from 1 species